UAACAAUAAUAUUAGUGACAAUUAACUUGUCACUGCCGGAAAUACUGAAAGAAGGUAAGAUUCUUUAUUAUCACCAUGUAACCGUGGUGGUGGUGUGAGAUGUCUCAGAGGGCUUUGGUGACAACGGCAUGGAUAGCGUCUGCAAGGUGCGGUACAGUCUUCGAGCUCAGACCAGCCAUACUUAUCCUCCCGUCGGAUGUCAUGUAGAUGUGGUACUCUUUAGUCAUGUAGGAGACUUGAGCUGGGUUUAGCCCUGUGAAGGUAAACAUACCGAUCUGUUUGAUGAUGUGAGUCCAGUCUCCAGGCGUGCCUGUCACAUUAUUUCAAUGUUACUUAACAGUGUGAUUUGCUGUUUCCCUAUGAUAAUAUACAAUCACAUAGGACCUUUACCUCGAGCACGUAAUGCCUCGAAAAGCUGUUUCCUCAUGCUGAUGAUACGAUCAGCCAUGGCUUUCAGUUCCAGAGUCCAUUCGUUGAACAAGUUCCUGUCACGGAGGAUUACAGCAACGAUGGAUGCACCAUGGAUCGGAGGGUUUGAGUACAUUGGCCUUAUUACAAGUUUCAGUUGGCUCUCAACUCUUCCCGCUACAUCUGCUGCUUUGCAUACCUACAAGCAAGCCCUUUAUUGUCAUAUUUCGAAAAGACAGUAACUCACAGCAGCACCACAAAUCCUGAGAUUUUAUUUAUUAAAUUGAGUCUUACAAUGCUGAGAGCUCCAACACGUUCUCCAUAGAGUCCCAUGUUCUUUGCAUAACUCUGAGCAACGAGCAAUUCUCCUCCAUCAGCAACAAACAUCCUAAUUGGUUUCGCAUCUGUAUCCAGACUUCCACUCGCAAAGCCCUUCAAUGAGAAAAGAGAUAAGACGAGUAUUACCAUUUAUCGAGAGCAGAAAUGGUUUAAACAUCAGCUGGUCCUAUACAACAACAAAAGGUUCCAGAGAGCAGGUGUACCUGAUAAGCACUAUCAAAGAAUGGCAUCAAUCCUUUGGAACGCAUCAACUUUCUGAUUUGCUCCCAUUGUUCAAGGGUUGGAUCAACACCAGUUGGGUUAUGAGCACAGGCAUGGAGAAGCACUAUCGAACCCUGUGGAGCAGCACCAAGGUCUUCUAAUAAACCUGUGAAUAGAAAAAGAAGAAGAAGAAAGGGUUAGAGUUGACCAGCUUAACAACUUUGAAAAGAUUAUGAGAUUUCUCACCUUGAAAGUUCAACCCACGUGUUGAUGGAUCAUAGUAGCGGUAAGUUUUCACUGACAAACCAGCAAGGGUGAAAAUUUUCGGAUGGUUUCCCCAUGUUGGCUGAGGAAUAUAAAUUGUUUUCUGGAAGAAAAAAAGAAGAUCUCAAAUUUAUAUGAAUGUUUAUUAGGAUGAUGGAAUUCAAUCAGACGUGAAAAAAAAAAUAUACUUUAAGCAUAUCUACCUGAUGAUAAUGCCUGGCCAAAAACUCCCCUCCAACUCUCAGGGAACCAGUACCAGACAAACACUCCACGGUUGUAACCCGAUUCUCCCGAAUAGCAGGACUAAGUCACGUAUGAAAACACCAAUCAGAAAGAAACUGAUGAAAACAUAAAGGAUAAUCAGAGACAACACUGUACCUGUCAGCGCCUAAUAUGAGCUUAGCGCUUAACUUGUUGAACUCAACCAAUCCAACAAUGGGAAGAUACUCCUUGAUCCGUGACCUACAGAAUAAUCACACAACAACAUUAUCAUCAAGCACCCAUUCAUAAGGUUGUAUACUAACCAAAACUCAACCCAGAGGGAAAGNNNNNNNNNNNNNNNNNNNNNNNNNNNNNNNNNNNNNNNNNNNNNNNNNNNNNNNNNNNNNNNNNNNNNNNNNNNNNNNNNNNNNAAAAAAAAAAAAAAAAAAAAAAAAAAUUCCAACAAGACAUAACACCAUUAGAGGAAAGAGCAGAGACAAGCUUCACUAAUUAUAUUACCUCAGUUCGGUAAGCACCAACUCCCAAAUUCAGCUUGAUUGGGCUAGGGUCUUUGUUAUAUGCAAUUGUCACCUGUUCAAAACAAGAAUAUAUAUCUCAGAGCUGAUAACAAAUAACACAUGUUUCUAAAUUUUCCAAUAAUCAUCCAUGAAAAAAAAAACGAGUAAUUAAGUAAAAUUAUAUCUGUUCUGCUAAUUAAAAAAAAAAAAAAGCACAAACAUCAACGCUUCUGAUAAUACAUAACCUAAGCUUCUAAAAUUUUCAAAUAACUAUCGAUGAUAAGCUUCUAACAUUAUAUCUGUUGUACGCAUUAACCAAAGCCAAAAUCAGUAGAUCAAACAUCAAAUUCUCUCAAUCCAUAUAUCAUCGUGACACCAUCGAGAUCGCACUAAUCAACACCCGAUCCAGAAUCACAAAACAAGCUAGAAACAUCAAAUGCGUACAACAACAAACACAUCCAAAAUCAGCGUCGAAUACGUUUUAUCUAUAUACACAUACAAAUACAUCAAAGGAGGAGAAGGAGAAGGUACCCCGAGAAUAGCAUCCUCGGGAGCUUGAACAAGAUGAGCGAAAACAGAACCUCCCGCGCCUCCCGACGUAGGCGAGGCGAAAACGGAGCUCACGCGAUCCGCAUCUGUCCCGGCGGUGAGGUGACGGAGGAGAGCGCCGAUCCUGCGAUCGCUCGGCGACGACGAUGAAGAGAAGUCGUUAGUUUUCAUUUUUCUUUCGAUUUGUUGUGUAUGACUGAAUACGAAUUAGCUUCAUUUCGUUCCCUUAUUAAUAACAGUUUGGAUUUUUCAUUUUUUUUUUUUACAUAAUCCAAAGAUGGUGGUUGCCACGUAGGGUUUCGCAUAAAGUUGCGUGCCCGCGUUUACGUUUGAUAUUAUGAUAAGGGACGGACCAUCAUCGUCAUCAAAGAUAAUACAUUAAAAAGUCUUUGUAAGAUUAUCCUUAAAAUCCGGCAAGAAAUUAAAAAAAAUUCAAAAAGUACUUCCAAAAAUAGGGUUAAAAUUCACAUUUUAACUGAGAAAGCAAAAUUAGCUUCGUUUUAUUUGACUAUUAAUUGUUUUCUUUCAAACAUUAGUUUUCAGAUCUCAAGUGAAACUUCUUAAUCAUAUUCAUUAUAUUUUUUAUUAUAGUGGUUUUCGUUAAUUAGUUUAUCGUUAAAUUUCUCCGAUUUAAACUCUUUGGACAUUUAAAUUAACGUAAUCAUUUGUUAUAAAAAUUUGAAAAAAAAAUCUAGUUUAGUAACAAAAACCUUAUAUGUUUGAAAUGAUCAGUGUUUAGCUUUGUGUUCAUUAGAAGAGCAUAGUAGAAAAAAUUUACGAUGACGUAUAUAUGAGCUACAACUUUAUUGGAUUUUGUCAACGAGUAUAACUGGACAAGAUUAAGAUCUGGUUUAAUUUAUUUAGAUAUGUAUUAUGACAAAAAUGUUUUCGAGUUCGUUGGAAUGUUGAAGCUUGCUUCAUUAGAAUAUAGAUGAUAGAAAUUCCAUUAUAGAUUUAAAAAAAAAAAAAGGUGUUAUAUACGUCCCUUCAAGAAUUCGCUUAAUUAAUUAAGUUGAUAGCUCAAAUUUAAUAUGAUUUUUAGAUCUUCAUUUUAGAUGAUUGUGAUAAAUUUAAAUUUGGAUUAUAUAUAUAUGGAACCGUUUAGGUAAUGCCAGAAACAAAAUUACAAACUUAAGGCUACUGUUCAAAGGGAAGCUUUCGAUCUGAAGUCCUGUAAAAUAUAUAUACUGUUUUAAAGGUUAUCGGAGUUGUUCAUACAUAUAUACUUAGUUGAUACCGACAUUUUCUUGCAUUAGUUCAGAAUUAAAAUCAUAUGUUCUAGUAUAUAUACCUGAUCGUAUAAUGCACCGUCUUCGGUUAGGUGCAAGGACGAAUCUAUAAGUAAAUCUUAGUGGGGUACUGGUUAAAAACUUAAAAUAUAUAGAAUCGAUUACUACGUACAAUAAGAAUUAUUUUAUAAGUUAUCUAAUAAAUUCUUCUGAGUGUACAUUAUAAGAUUAUAAUAAUAUUAAAACAUAAUUUACCGGAUGUAUAUAUCAAAUAUGUGAACCCAAUUUGCCUCUCUUUGCGUCCAGUCAUGGUUAGGUGUUGAUGGUCCACUUUUGACAAGGUCUAAUACUUUUUUACGGUUAUGUCUUUCUCGUAGUGGAAGUGGCUCUUGGGUUUGGCAUACGGAUGUUGAUGUUUUUACAUCUUAAUGAUGAAGAUCCAAUUCAUUGGAUUAUCGAUGGCUUCAUUGAGAUCAUUAUAAUCUGUUGGCUUUGGAACUUCAUCUGGUUUUAAAUAAAUUCUAGAUGCUAAAUUAGUCUCAUAGUCUUCGUUUUUGUAGUGGGAGUUUUUAACAAACUUAGUUAUAUAAAUAGAAUCUUUCAACUCUGAACUAUUACAUAACGCAACUUAAUAAAGAUCUAUUCAAUUAUAAACUGUCGAUUUUAGUUUUCGACCGAAUAAAUUAUAUGGAUCUUUAGAUUUAAUUAUUUUGAUCAUAACAAGAAACCAUAAAUGCUGAAAAUGAUACCUGGGAACUUAAAUUGCUUACACGACAGUGUAAGUGUUAAUUGGAUGUUUGUGAUGUAAUAUUGCAACGGCUCAUAUCAUGGCGUGUUUGAGCUGUAAGUUUGUACCUCGCUUGAGCUCUAAAUAUCCUCCUUCCUCUUAUUCCACAAAAUUCGAGUUUCUAUAGAUUAGUACGCCUUGCGAGGUAAUCCAACAUGGUAGCUAGUAACUAACAAUUACUCUCUCCGUUUCAAAAAAAUCUAUAUUUUAGAAAAAAAAUCUCCUUCAAAAAGAUAUGUGUUUGACAUUUUCAAAUAAAUUAAUUGCAAAUCGUAAACUUCAAAAAACAUAAUACUCCCUAUCCGAAAGUAAGAUUUUUUAGAUUUUUUUUCUAGUUCCACAAAGAUAGAUUUUCUAUAUUGUUAAGGUAAUUUUUUAUACUUUUGAGGAACAUUAAUUGAGAAUAUUUGAAUUGAUUAAAUUUCAUUGGUGGAAAGUUAUUGGAAAGUGUAUAAUAAAGUAAAAAAUAAAUUAAAUUAUAAACAUUUAUUAAAUUCUUAAUAAGCGUGCAUAUUCUAGAAAUCUUACUUUCGGGAAUAGAGGGAGUAGUGUUUAUAACAAAAUUAUUGAUUAAAAAUUAUUGGUUAAAAAUUAUUGGUUAAAAAUUAUAACGGAAAAUAAUGUACUGGUAGCUAAAAUUUGAUAUAUUUUCUUAAUAAAUGUGAAAAACUUAAAACAUAUAUCAUUCUGAAACGGAUAGAGUAUUUAAUCUGAUUUUCUUAACCAAAAAAUAAAAUAAAUUAUUUAAUCUGAAUUUACCUCCAAUUUCUGUUUCAAAAACCCUACCGCCUAUAGUCAUCGAGUAUAAUAAGUAACAACUGGAUUUUAAGAAGUGAGAGCAAUGUAUUUGCAUGAAAAUUAUUUUGGCGGUUCAUGUUUGACAAAUUAAAAUCACUAUCCAACUAAGUUCCCACACAGAAAUCAAUAGAAAUUAUUGUAUACAAACUUAUCUAAUAAUUAUUUCGAGUAAAACUAACAAUGGAUCUAGAAAUCGGAAAUAAUUUACCUUUUGCAAAAUGUUACUACGUAAAUAAAUACAUAUCUGACGUGGUCAGUUACGUUUUAGCUAUAUCAAGUGCUGUUUGUGGGUGUUUCUUCUUCCAGCAACAAUGAUGCGCUGGAUCGUGUGGCUCACAUGAAAUGCCUUUUGUGUUCAACCCAGUUCCUAGGUACUCCCUCUGUUUCAUUAUAAAUGUUGUUUUAGGUUUCGAUACACGGAUUAAGAAAACAAUCAAUUUUGUACAUUUCCUAUAAAAAAUACUAUUACCUAUACACCUAGCCAUAUUUCAACCAAUAGAAAAAUAAAUUUUACAUUGAAAAUCGAAAACGACACUUGUUUUGUAACGAAAAAAAUUCUCUAAAACGACACUUAAUAUGAAACGGUGGGAAUAUAAGAAAAGAAGGGAUUCACAUAGGCUAGGAAUAUUCUAUAAAUAUUUUAUUAUAUUAAUAUUUUUUUGUUCAAAAUAUCACAAUAAAAAUUUGAAUCAAUUGUUGGACUUAUUUAAGUAUAUGGAAAAUGCUUUAUGAAAUUUUCCUAAACAUUUUUUCUUGAUAUACUACUCUUUGAAAAUUUAAUAAGAUAUGUGGUUUUAGCAUUAGUUUGUUUUUUCAUACUGUGACCCAUACAUUUAUGAAUAAAGUAUCCAAAUUGAAACUAAUCAAUAACUAUCAUGGAUAAUACUCAAUUUGGCUAAAAAAAACUAAAUAGCAUAUCAAUACUUACUAGCAAAUUUGAUUAGCAUGUCAAAUAAUAACUAACUUUAGUAUAUAAAAUAUUUUCAAAAUAGCACAUCAAAAUAAUUAAAUAUCUUAUAAUUAAUACUAGAUGCAGUUUUGUUUUUUUUCUAUAGACUAUGGUUUACAAAUUACGUACAAUUGAUAUUAGCCUAGGUAUUCUACUGAAAGUUAUACUAAUUAAGACAUAAUUCACUACAAGAAAACAGCGGCAUACUGAGGGAAAAAAUCGUCGGUAUGUCGUCGGAAUAACGCUAUUCCGAUGACAUACCGACGAAAAAAGUCUUCGGAAAUAACUCCUCGGAAAUUCAUCUUUCCUCGGAAAUCCCUCAGAAAUUUCCGACGGAAUUCCGAGGAAACCCUAUUUCCGAGGACCACAAGUUCGUCGGAAAUUCCUCGGAAUAUUCCGAGGAAGAUGUCGUCGGAAUAUUCCGAGGGAUAAACUUCCUCGGAAUAUUUCCAAAAUUAAAAAAAAAAUUAUAAAUUUACUUUUUUAAAUUGAAAUUCGAAAAUAUAAAAUUAAAAUUGAAAUAGAAAACAUAUUUAAAAUACAAAAAAUAAUAAAAUAGUUUUUAUAAAUAAAAAAAAUGUUUUAUAAAUACAAAAUUAGUUUAGUACAUAUGAAAUCAUCUUUUUAUAAAUACAAAAUAGUUUUUAUAAAUACAAAAAAUAAUAAAAUAGUGUUUAUAAAUCAAAAAAUGUUUUAUAAAUACAAAAUUAGUUUUAUAAAUAUAAAUAUUUUUAUAGAUAUGAAAUCAUCUUUUUAUAAAUACAAAAUAGUUUUUAUAAAUACAAAAAACAAUAAAAUAGUGUUUUUAAAUCAAAAAAAAUAUUUUAUAAAUACAAAAUUAAUUUUAAAAUAUGAAAUCAUCUUUUAUAAAUCCAAAAAUCGAAUUUAUAUACAAAGAACGGUUUGUAUAUUUAAAAAUAGUUUUUAUAAAUACAAAAAUAAAAAAAAUAGUGUUUAUAAAUCAAAAAAAUGUUUUAUAAAUACAAAAUUAGUUUUAAUAAAUAUAAAUAUUUUAAUAAAUAUGAAAUCAUCUUUUAUAAAUCCAAAAAUCGAAUUAUAUACAAAAAACGUUUUGUAAAAUCGAAUUUAUAUAGAAAAAAGGUUUUGUAAAUACAAAAAUAAUGAACAAUUUUUAAAAAAAGUUCUAAAUCAAUUCAACACAACCAAAUCACAAUUCUAAACCUAUUACACAACAAAUCACAAUCCUACCCAAUCACCCUAACAAAAAUCUAUCAAAAACCUUCUAAAAUCAUCAAAUCUACUUAAAAACCUAACAAAUAGGACCUAAGAGAGUGGGAUAGGGUCCUUACAUGAUUUGUAAGGGAAUGGAAAGGAUUCGCCGGAGAGAUCGUCGCGAGAGAAGGUGGAGAACGCCGGAAGGAGAGAGAGAUCGCCGGAGAGGAAGAAGAGAGAAAUGGGGAAGAAGAGAGAAAUGGGGAAGAAGAUGCGUUUCAAGUUUAUAAAACCUUGGGUCCGACGGAUAUUUUCCGUCGGAAUUCCCUCAGUAUUUAUUAUCCCAUCGAUCGAUCAAGGAUAUCAAGUGUUCCUCGGAAUUUCCUCGGAAUAUUCCGAGGAAAUUCUGAGGAACUAGUGUUUGGGGUUUCAAAAUCUCGAAUGUUUUUUUAUAAACGGAUCGAUCGAUGUAUUUAUGUCCAAAAACGCAUCGAUCGAUCACUAAGAUGGACCAAAGCGUAACAAUGUGAUCGAUCGAUGAGAUUAUCCCAUCGAUCGAUCAAGGAUAUCAAGUGUUCCUCGGAAUUUCCUCGGAAUAUUCCGAGGAAAUUCUGAGGAACUAGUGUUUGGGGUUUCAAAAUCUCGAAUGUUUUUUUAUAAACGGAUCGAUCGAUGGAUUUAUGUCCAAAAACGCAUCGAUCGAUCACUAAGAUGGACCAAAGCGUAACAAUGUGAUCGAUCGAUGAGUAUAUGUCCAAAAACGCAUCGAUCGAUCACUAGUUCGUCAGAAUUUCCUCGGAAUAUUCCGACGGAUUGAUGUUUCCUCGGAAUUCCGUCGGUAUAUUCCGAGGAAAUUCCUCGGAAAAUUCCGAGGAUUUCAUUUUCCGUCGGAAUGUCCGUCAGAAUACCGCUGUUUUCUUGUAGUGAUUCACCAGUGAAUGAUUUGUCUAUACCUGCAUGUGCAGUGCAUAUAUAUUGUAUCAACUUCAAGCUUAUCUCAACAAUAUAUAGAAAUACCAAAUCGGCAGGAAUUUUCGAUAGUUUAGUCAAAGCUUGAAAUUAAUUAGGAAAUCCAGUUUUUCUUUUUCUUUUAAUUCGUCUAUUGUGCUACGGCUUUUAGUUUUUUUAGGUCAGUGCGCCAUUUUAAUUGUCUUGACCAACACUGUAUUGACUUUUCGCAAACAGUAACGGGUCUGAAGAAAUUUAUAAAGGUAACGAUAAGUCGAUAACUAAAUAUAUAAUAAGUUUAACAUAUGUAUAUAUACAGUUAAAACGACAAGAAAAUUAAAACAAACUUUUCUUGCAAAUAUACUGUACGUUCACUCAUAUAUUAUAGUCUCCUUUUUAUAAGAUAAUUUCUAAUAAUCUUUAUAUUGUAAUCCGUCGUUGUUUGUAUGACUUCCAAAUAACCGGCUGAAUUAUCAUAAUUAUUAUUUUUGUUUGUUAAACCUGGAUAUUCAGAUCACCUAGGUUACAAGUCACCCCAAACAUCCUUUGAAUCAUAUCUACCACAGCUACUCUCAAAAUAGAUGCAUGGACAUAUUGAUAUAUUAUAAAUAUGAACAUGUUGGGAUUUUAGAACAAUUUUGGAGAAUUGUGAUUAUGGAGAAAAAUUAAACACAAGUUAUGAUGUAGAUAUGUUUAUACGUAAAGCCUAUAUAGAGAACUUUUAGUUAAAUAAUGGCGUCGAAAUUGAAUUAAUUUUAUACUUACUUAAGUACCACUGAAGUUGCGGUAAGAAAAUAAAAGUUGCGGUAAGAAAUAUAUAUAUAUAAAUAAAUGAUCUAAAAUAUACUUAUAACUCGAUCAAUUUUUACAUUGCCUCGUAAUUGCCGAUUAGUGUAGUACUCCUAUUAAAGAUAUUUUUUCGGUAAUUCAUACUAAGGAUUGGACACACAUAAACCACAAACGAGUACUCCCAUGUUUUGGUGGAAAAUUGGAGUUAAUUGAUAUCAUUGUGGCUUGAGGGUUUACGUUGCCACCAUAAUUACGACCUAGUAAUAUCAUCAUUAGUUAGAAAAUGACAUAUACGAGGUAACGAACACACACAUAUGCAUGCAUUAUCAUUAUGCGUUUUAAGUAAAAAUAUAAUGAUUAGCGGAAGAAAAGCUGAGGUGAGAUUAUACGUGGUUCAUGAAAUUUAAAACUCGAACAUCGGAAGUACCACACUAAUAUCCCCUGGUUUCACCUACAAUAUUCGUUGCUCCUCGAUCAGUUUAACCUUACGUGGCUUAUAAUAGUUGCUACUAUAUAUUUAUAACCCUUCAAAACGAUUUUUUUAACUUGAAAAAAGUGUUCUCUUUUUCGUUUUUCAAAAUAUUACUUGUUUCUUACAUUUUUAAUGAAAAGAUUACGUGUCCGAAUCCAUCAGGAAUAGUUUUCUUGGUUAAGUGACAUACUAUUGAGGUUCUAUUAUUUGUUUGCUUGUGUUCUUAUGUUUACGUGUUAGUGUUUAUAUGAAACUACAAUCUUUAAUAUUUAAACAAACCUAUUUUGUAGAUCUUCAACACAAAGAAAACAAAUACAAACGAAAUUAGGAUCCCAAACUGGCUAUAUGAAACAGUCAAAUAGUGGCCGUGUGAUUUUGAUGAGAUUAUAUAUGGAUCCAAAAUUCUAUGGCGGUAUGAGUUAUAUUGUUUUGCGUACAAAUAUUAUAAUAAAAUGUUUGGACUGUCCGGUAAACUAAACAGAUCUGGUAAGUGAUUUGAAAGUCGUCUAAGAGCUAACACAUCUCAGCAUAGUAAACCGUACGCAAGUGUAUCUGCGUCCAAAAACUACUAGUUAGCUCGAAUGCUUAUAAGGAAUUUUAAUGGCCCACAGAGAAUGCGUGUAUAAUUAAACACGAACAGCCAAUAUCUGAAUAGUCUUAUAUGGCCCACGAUGCAAAUCAACAGGCAAUAUAAUUACCACUCUUUACUUGAUUAAUGAGCUUUUAAAUUAAAUCUGCUCCAUGUAUUUUUUUUUUUUAACCACUCCAUGGUAUCUGGUGUUCACCUUCAGCUGAAGAGCGAUUAUCACCUACCAUUUUUUAUAAUUAAUAGAUUUCGGAUCUUCAAUAUAUAAUUGUUUUAGAUUUAGAGUAAAUAAUUGACAAUACAUGUGAAUACGAACAUCAUUAAUAUAUAUGAUAAACCUAAUAUUUCUGGGUUAAUAAAGUGAGCUAUCUUCACAGAACGCUUACACCCUUUUUAUUUACUAAAUAUGACUUUCGACAAAUAGUGUCUUCAUAUUAGCCAUCGAUCGUUGUUAAUAGAUGAAUCAAUAAUCAAUGUUUCCGACAGAGAACUUAUAUGUAUAUAUUGGCUUACCAACUAAAAUAAGCUAUCAUAGGCCAAGGGAUUGUGUUUCCCAGCUAAAAUAUCGAGUUAAAAGUUAUGUAUUUUGUAAAUGAAGAUCAAACACACUCGAAGGAUUUAAAUUUUUGAAGGAUUUGUAAGAUAUAUGGGUGAUACACAGAUCCAUGGAACUGAGUAUAUAAACACAUAUAUAUGUAUCAGAUAGAUAUGAUGAUGUUGGGGUGUGUGUAAGAAGUAAAAAUCCAAGAGUUAAAAAGCGGAGAGAGAGAAGGUUGAUGUGGUUGUCGAGAUGCUAACAGAGAGGCACAUGCAAAGCUUAAAUGAUGGUAUCGCUGGUGGCCAAAGCAUCUCCUUAAAGCUGUUCUUUUUCAUCUAAGUCCUCUUUUUUUAUUUGCCUUUUCUCUCUCUAUACAUUUAUAUAACUAAGUGAUUGUGUUUAUAACCUUUUCAAUAUAUACCAUGUGUAUACAAACUUACUAAUGUGCAUUUGUGCACGUAUGCAAACCUAAAAGUGUAUCAAUUAAUUAUAUACGAAAUCUCCUUUCUCUGGUUACAACCCCUGUUCUAAAAAUAGGCGGCCGUCUCCACGUUACGUCACACGUCCAUUUCGAUUUAUGCAAAAUAGGUUAAAAAAAUUGGAUAUCCAAUUUUCUCUGCCUAGACCGCCUAAAUGACCGCCUAGCCGCCGCCUAAUCUAUUUUUUUUAAUUUUUUAAUUUUAUUUUUAAUAAUAUUUUUAUUUAUUUAUUUGAUCUAAAAUUUUAUAAAUAUCAUUUAUAUUCAUAAUUUUGAUGAAAAUUCCACUAUAUUAAGUUUAUAUAUUCUAUAUAUUUGUGUGUUUUAUAUAAUCUUAAACAUAAAAAUGUAUUAAUGUUAUACACAGUUAAAGAUUAACUUUUAUAACAUAGUAAACAAUCUAAUUCUGCCCCGCAUAAUUUCCGAUUAAUCUUUGAUUUUCUCCCAACCGUCCGACUAGCGCCUAACGCGUUCCCGAACAGGGGUUACAGCUAAGUCUGAGGAUAAUAUUUCAAAAGUGUGUGAAUCUUGAUUUAUACGGUCUACAUGAAAUGUUUGUUUGGUUGAAGAUAGGUUCCUUGAAAAUUAGCUAGAAACUUGGAUACUAUAUAUGUCAUGUAACAUUGCAUCUAAAUGUUCAAAGUGGGCCACUAACACGUUUUAGUUUAUACAUCACAAUUUGUCAAACCACAACUAACUGCGUCAAACAAGAAAAUUUGAUCUUAUGUACCUGGCAAAAGUAAGUUGCACAUAAGUUCAAAAAAAAAAGUAAGUUGCACAUAUAUCUCACUCGGUGGGAAGGAAAAGGAGAUUAAUAUUUUUCCGAUAUAGACUAUAGUAACAAACCUAAAUUUCUAUAGAAAUAACAAUAUUAUAAAACUUCAAAGCCGACAAAAACUAGGAAAGAAAUAAGAAUACAAUUUACCGAAGAAAGAAUAUAAUUAAAAAAAAACAGUAUACCAAGGAGAGAGAAAUGUGCUAUAAAGGAUAAAGCCCCACUAAAGUCUGAAGCUAUCACGCAUCUUAAUGUAUAAUAUUAUUUUCUAAGAGGCAAUACAAAUUUACCUGAUGCAGUAUUAUUUUCACCAAGUUUUGUAUUAAUAUACGUUUGUAAAAUGUUCAACACAACUUGAUGAUGCUCACGAGUCACUUCUAGAUAUAUUCGUGUGUGUGUGCUAAUACGAGCAUAUUUAAAAAAAAACGUAUUAGCUGUCGAACAGUUAAAUCCAAAUCUAUAUUAUACCUACGGAUUUGAUAAACAAAUACAGAGUCAACGACUCAACGUCCAACUAAUUGAUGUAUAUAUAUCGAAUAUGUAAAGGUAUAAAGAAAAACAAAGUUGGAUUUUUUUUAUAUAUUUUUGUUAAACCUCGCUUACAUCAUAGGGUAUCCCAUUAGGUUGGUGUACCAUGUGAUGAUUCUACCACCGAAAAAGCAAAAAUCAAUUAAAAAUACAUCUGUGUACUUACAAAUAUAUAUAUAUAACAAUGAAAGAUUUAACACAUCUUUAUGUACAAAAACAUGGUGUACGUGAUAAUGUGAACCAAAUCAUUCUGAUUUUUACUGCAGUAAAAUUUUGAAAUGGGGGAAAAAAGAAUGUUAGGGUUAAUAAUCUUAUCAUUUAUUGAGGAAAUGGGCUCGUCUAGGGUAACAUCACCUACCCAUACAAUAUUAUCAUGCUUUUAGGGCUUUUAUUUUUUCUCUCUGGUCCCACAAUCUUCUCCACUCUCACUUCUUUCACGUCUCCACACGCUCCAAUCUCUCCCGUCCUCCGUGCCGACGCUCCCUCUCCGAUCCGCGCCACGGCCGAAACGUGCCCACACGCAAAAAGAAAGUCCCGUGAUAACCACGCGCGCGCCUAGGGUUUUCUUUUUUUUUCGGACACAACAAAUGGGUGGUGAUAAGAACCGCAGAUUACGGCCACGUGGAGGUCUAUAGUUGGUACCUUGUGCCCCAUCCUAUCACACCGAAACGUCAAUAUAUAAAUUUUCAACGUAAAAAAGAUGGGUUUCCUUAUGUGAAGAAAACACUGAAAUCUUGUGAAAAUAAAUUAUUUUAUCUUGUUGUUUAAUUUUCGGAUACCUAUUACCCUAAUGAAAGCUCUUUACAUUAAUGCUAAGAUAUUUUCACUAAAAUAAUAAAAUAUUGCAUAGAUAGAAAUAUAUAUUUUUUAACUUUUGACCUAUACAGAUACAUAUACGUGUACACAAUAUAUAGAAAGGUACUCGUGUAAAUGGAAAUAGGCAGACCAGAUGGUGACAUGGCAGUGUCAUGUUCCACAGAUGAGUUGUUUUUUUUUAUUUUUAAUAUAAAUUAAUUUUAUGGCAAUAAAGUAUUAAUUUUAUUAAAAAACACUCAUUUCGACGCAAUAAAACCCUCAUUUCAAGGAUAAGAAAGCUUCGGUUUCCUCUCUCUUCUUUUCUCAACAGUCUCUCUCUCUAAGCCAAAGAAAAUAAAAGUCCCCCUUUCUCUCUCUCAGGAAACGUCGCCUUAGGGUUUCAGGAAAAUUCGCAGUCAAAUUCUACUCAUCUCCCGAAGAAUCAAUCAUCGAAACUUAUCUAAUCCUCUUAUCGUCAAGCUUCUCCAUCUCCCGGUACGGUUUUCUUCGCUUGCCGCUUAAGAUCGAGCACGAAUCUCGCAUCUUGAUUCUCUGGUUCGGAUUCCCUUCAGGUGCGUGUUUCCGACAUGAAUCUCUGAUCUGUUUGAUUUUUAGGUUUAGGACAUGGCUAGAUCUUGUGGGAAGAGAUUUUAGCUUGACUUGUAGCUGACUUCGUGUUUUCUUUGUCCGAGGGAUCUUCACUGUUCAUUUAUACGUCUCUUCGAUGUUCUUACUUUUUUUUUGGUUUUUUUUUGUUUCUUCACGGACUAUUCACGUGCGGGUUAGAUCUGACCCGUAUUAAUUGGUGGGUCUUCGUUAUCUUUGUUAAUCUCAUGCGGUUAAUUUUAAGUGUCUUAUUAUCUGUUAAUUGGCUUCUAAAUAAUUUGAUUUAAAAACCCUAAAUUACUCAGAUUAAUUAAUCUUUACGUUUCUAAGUCGGAAAAAUAUUGAAACGGGUCAGUUCUAAAGUUUUUUUUUUUCUGGUCAUGUAGACAAAGGUUACAGCUUUGGGUGUUCCCGUGUCUGAAAACCCUAAUUUUUAGGUCGGUGUUUAAAUAUAGAUUAAUGUUGAAUUUAAAAUGUUAAACUAUAAUUCACUUCGAACGUAUGAAGAAUUUUGUUCAUGAUUUUAUGUAGAACUUAGAGUUCAAAGUUUUUAAUUUUCAUGGAACUGUUGAGUUAAAUGGAUGGUUGUUAUGAAUGUUAUUUUAUGUGGAUAUUCAUGGAAUAUGCUUGGAACAUCAUGAUUAUAUGUAAACUUCAAUUAAUUUAUAGUUAUAAUUGAUGUUAUAUAUAUGGAGCGUUAAGAUUUUGAAGCGUUGGAUCUCUUUGCAUGCACAACCAUUUGAUCAUCAAGCACAAUUAUACAGUUUUGAUUUGUUACUUAAAUCUUUCGGUUUGGUGAAGUUAAGAAAAAUUAUCGUGUGUAACAGCUCUAGGUACGUAGAGAGUAUAAUGGUGGAAGUUAAUCAUCAUUAAGGCAUAUGAUCUCCUUCAAGCAAAUCAAUGAGUUCCUCCAUUAAGAUCAACUCGAUAUCAAUAGAUCUCGCAGGCGCUGCCAACGAGAUUAAUAUGGUAAAAUGUGAUCACUUCUCCAUACGGUGAGCCUACUAUAUAUUGACCUUAUGUUAUCAACCUUCCUUGUUUAAACUAUGAUCAUACUUUCCUUUACUUUGAUAGAUAUUAUUAUAUGUAUUUAUAUGAUGUGAUCACUUCCAAAUGCAUACACUAUUAGUAAGAUACAAGAUGAAGUGACAUGAAUAUAUCGAGUUUUCUUCUUAUAAUUUAAUGCAGUGGAUUCGUAGCUGAAACGCGUGAGAGAGACGAUAGAAAAUGUUGGCCAUUCUCAGAAGAGAGUGUUACUUUGGAGAAUCAACAAAGCUAUCCCCUUCCUUCUUUAUCUGUUCCAAAGUUUAGAUGGUGGCGUUGUAUGAGUUGCAUCAAAGAUAUCAAUGCUGAUGGGAUAAAGGGUAUACUUACUUAUUUCCAAUAUUUUGUAUAAGUGUUCUAUACUAGCUAGAGAGAAAGGCUGCUUGAACUUAUACAUUUAAAUGGUUGUUUUAAAAUUUAGGACUGCAUGCAAACUCAACAAGUAUAAGCGGGGAAAAGCUAGAUGAAACCUCUUCGGUUAUCCCUAGUCAAAGCAAAUUGAAUCCACUAACAAUCACCGAUCAGGAGAAAGAAAGGGACAAUGAUAUUGCAGGUAAUUAGAAUCUGCUUGUUUUAGUUUCAUAAUUCAAACCAACCGUAAUAAUUUUGUAUUAUCAUUUUUUCAGGUAGUGCUGUUGUGGAGAAUGAGAAUGUAAACUGUGAAAGAGCUCAUAAGGAUGAUCAGACAGGUAACAUUCUUCUUUGGUAGCAAAUUAACGUGUGCAGAUGAAAUAAAACUAACUUUGUGAAGCUGAAACAGUUACAGCUACUACGUUAGUCAAGAAAGUUCAUCCUCCAUCUAUGGAUGCUUCUACUGUUAGAAACAAGAUCAGAAAGCUCGCGAGUCGAGAACAAGUAGGCAACAAGAGAUCUAAAGUAAGCAAAUCAUCAACGGAUGCCAGCAGCUGGAAAGAGAAGCAAAACGUGACAACUUUUGCAUCAUCAGAGAUAGCUGGUGUGGUUGAGGAUACGCCUCCCAAGGCAAUCAAGAAUCGUUAUAAAGACGACAAGGUGUCAUCAGAGAGUAUAAAUCUUGGGUUUCAGCGUAGGAAAACUCGCAAGGUUCGUCUACUCAGCGAGCUGAUAGUUGAUCCCGAGACCAAAGCUAAUGGUGGUAGUAACAAUAUAAGACAAGAAGAGUCUUCUUCUUCUUCGAAGGCUAGAGGUAGAAAAAGAAAGGUACCACCUGAAAACAACUAUGUCAGCCGGAAACUAAGCAAAGGCGGCGCCACUUCUGAUCAAGGUGAUAGUGAUUCAGCAGAUAGUGGGUUUGACAGAGAUCUUAUUAAGGGUAAGAAGAAGAACAGAAGAUUCCAGGUUGUUGACGAGUUUGUUCCAUCACUUCCUUCUCAAGAGGGAGUCCAUGAGAAUGAUGCAGCAGGUUCUAGUAAGAGUGCUUUGUCCAAGGAUAAAGACUCGGUUCCUCAGAGAGCAGAGAAGAAGCUCAAGAAGAAGAAAAACAAGCCUGUAAUAAAGGAUAACGAGAAGAGUAGCCUGAUCAGUUUUAGUUCCAUAAAUACAAGCUCCCAAUCUACUAGAGAUUUAAUGAAUGAAGAAAGGGUUGGCAGUUCACUUGACGAUCACCGUUUGGCUGCAGAAGGGUAUUUCAGAAAACCUAUCCCUCCUCAGGUUAAUAAUGAUAGGCCGGUUACUUCUUUGCAUGUGCCAGAGAAUGCACAUGUUAGGCCAAGUGAUGUAGAAGCAAACAGUCUUCAAGAGUUUGGUUCCUCUUCUAGACCAAACACAGGUGGAUGGUUGAGAACUGGAGUGGAUGCUGUUGACUUCAGCACCACCAACAACAACAACACAGAUAAAGGCUUUGCAGAUCUAUUUUCUGUGCUGCAAAAGGUAAAUGCUUUGUUCUUACAUAUCUACCAGAGGUCAUUAGCUCAACUAGAAAGGAUCUUGCCUAUUGUGUUAAGAGGUACCCAGUUCGAGUGACCAGAGUGACCGCUGGGUACGAAACUAAUAUUAUACUGUGGUUUCAGUCCCGACCCUCCUGGUAUUAAAAAAAUGGUUUUGUUCUCAGAUGACUUUAGCUAAAGCUCUAUAUUGUUGUGUCUUCCAAAUUAGUGUAUUAAUGGAAUCAUUUUACUUGGCAGGAAGCUUCUGGUGCAGACAGAAAGGGGAAGACAGUAAUGGUCCAAGAACAUCAUGAACCUCUCGGAAGCCAAAGCCAUGAUAGAAAUGAGAACACACCUGAAGAGGCAAACGAUGAUAUCACUUUGGAGAUAGCCGAGCUCAUGGCUAAAAACCAAUACGAGAGGUGUCUUCCAGACAAAGAAGAUGACGUUAGCAACAAGCAACCACCACAAGAAGAAACGCCACACAGAUCCAAGAACGCUCUCCUGAUUGAUCUUAACGAAACCUAUGAUAACGAGACUUCACUGGAGGAUACCAACAACAACACAUCAAAACCGCAGCAGAAACCUCUAGACUUCUUCCCAUUAAGACAGCCUUACGUGCCUUCUUCUCCGUUUGGGAUCUUUCCUCCUACUCAAGAGAACCGAUCUAACUCCAUCCGGUUUUCUUCUGGUCACAACAACCCCCAGUGGCUUGGGAAUGUGCCAGCAAUGGCUAACCAGCAUCCAUCUUCCUCCUCAUAUAGAGUAUUACGUGGGUGUAACACAUGCUACCAGAGUGUUCCUCAUCAGUACAGAGAACCAGCUUCUUCUCAUCAGAUCUGGCCACCUUCCAUUGUGCAACGACCACAGUGUCAUCAUCAGACACCAGUUUCUUCUUUCAACAUGGAUCAGUCAACGAGGCUUGGCCCCAGUAAUAACAAUACGUGGAACCUCAACUUUGUUACCCCCAACGGGAAGCAAAGAUGUGAUGGUAAUAGAUCAAUGGACGCCUUCUCUAACGAAAGCUCUAUACCGGCAUUGAAUCUGCUCAGCCUUAUGGAUCCUAGGUUGAGAUCAUCAAACGCUCCCGUUGACCACCAUGGGAACGUUAAUUUCACUAGAAGACAUUUUCCACCGUCUAAGGAACGUAUAGGGCUUGAAACAGGGGACUCUGGUAAGACAGCUUACCCAAGUAAACAGUCUCCUUUCAAUUUUUACAGCAACGGGUUCGCACCUGAGGCUUCCCGGAAGAGUUUCCCUAUCGGUCCACCGCUUGGUACGUCGUCGUUUUCGUUUCAAAACGCACAAGCAGCUCCAUGGAGUCAUCAUCAUCAUCAUCAUCAUCAAGAGAAGAUAAACAAGAGCAAAGACACUGUGUUUCCUGGAAGCAACGACCAAGGGAGAUUCCAGCUUCUCAGGGGAUCUAACUCCAUGAAGCUCCCUUUGAAAGAAAUGAACCAAAAGAGGAAAGCAGAGAGCUCCAGUAACGCCUCUGCGUUGCCUCCUAAGAACAGUUCAGGGUCCUUUGAGUGCAUCGUGAAUAGAAACCCUGCUGAUUUCACCGUUGCUGAACCUGGGAAUGUUUACAUGUUAACGAGUGAAAAUCUUAAGGUGGUAAGAAAACGUGCACCCUACAAGACAAAAGCAAGUUUGUGUAAAGAGGAUGCAAUGAAGCAGACUAAGAAGACCGUUGGUCCAGUUACAGAAAAUGCCUAAAGAUUAAUACAAAAUGGAAGAGGUUUCUUCAGGUAAAUUGCUAUGCCUAUAGAACUGAGUUUUAUUUAAGUUUAGUUACUAGAAGUCUAGAACAGAGAUUAUUCUUGGUCUCCUUCAGUUCUAACAAAACAUGGGUUUCUCUUUGUGAAACAGACGGUGAGAGGAAGAGGGAUGCAAAGAGGCGCACCAGUCCUGUUGAAGUCAAUAAUAAGUCAGAAAGGAAACAGUAAAGCGAAUCUUCUCAGUUACUUCCUGUUCUUGGAUACACAUCUCUUUUUUUUCCUUGUGUUUGAUCACUCAUGCUUGGUAACAUUUAGUGUGUGUAUAUACCUUAAAUUACUGUACUACCCUUGAUAGGUCUUGUUUUUCUUAAGAUAUUUUUGUUGCGCUCUUUUAUUUAUACAGUCCCUAUUUAUACCGCUGGCAUUAUCUUUUUAUUUUUCGGUCUAAAUGUUACCGUUACGACCGGUAUGAGUUGUCUUUUUACAGUGUCAGCUUUAACAACGUCACAGGAAAACCUAAAAAUAACUCUUCUAAAGUUUUUCCACUUAUCUGAAGAAAACUCAAGCAAGUUAAUUUUAAAUUUACAUCUUAAUUUUUGUUUGCAAAGUAAUUGUGAAUUAACUACAGGUAGGUGGUGGACUUGUGGUUUAAAGUCACUAGUAUAAGUUUAAUUUGGAAGAUGUAAAUUCACGCCUUAAAUAUGGUAUUCUCAACGGUUGGCCAUGUAUAUGGGUUAGAUUAUGAACUACAAGUUUGGACUUUCUAAAAUUUAUCAAGAAACAAUAUUCAAUUAAAAUGCCAAGAGUUGUUGAACAAUAUGCGAAAAACAAAAACAAAAAAUUUUGGUCAAGAAAUAUGCUAAAUUUAUAAACCCUAAAAAUUACUAAAGAAAUGGUAAAAGGUAGGAAAUAUCUAUUGUUACUCAAAGAAGUUGGAUAUUCGUUGGCUCUAUUUGGAUGUGAAUGGAAGGUGGGAGUGGAGAGCAGUGAGAAAUUAUAUAUGGUUUAAAGUUUAAAGCGAUCGAGAGUGGGGAGAAAGUUAAGAUGGUUUCAUCAAAUGUAACAUGACAAGAAAGGAAAGGUGCACAGAAAAAUUCUAAAUUAAGCAAUGAUGUAUCCACUGUGGUUUUUUGUAAAAACGCAUGAAGAGCUUUUAGCUUGACUUAUAGCUGACUUCGUGUUUUCUUUGUCCGAGGGCUCUUCACUGUUCAUUUAUACGUCUCUUCGAUGUUCUUACUUUUUUUUUGGUUUUUUUGUUUCUUCACGGACUAUUCACGUGCGGGUUAGAUCUGACCCGUAUUAAUUGGUGGGUCUUUGUUAUCUUUGUUAAUCUCAUGCGGUUAAUUUUAAGUGUCUUAUUAUCUGUUAAUUGACUUCUAAAUAAUUUGAUUUAAAACCCUAAAUUACUCAGAUAAAUAAUCUUUACGUUUCUAAGUCGGAAAAAUAUUGAAACGGGUCAGUUCUAAAGUUUUUUUAAAUGGUCAUGUAGACAAAGGUUACAGCUUUGGGUGUUCCCGUGUCUGAAAACCCUAAUUUUUUGGUCGCUGUUUAAAUAUAGAAUUUAAAAUGUUAAACUAUAAUUCACUUCGAACGUAUGAAGAAUUUUGUUUGUGAUUUUAUGUAGAACUUAGAGUUUAAAUUUUUUAAUUUUCAUGGAACUGAAGAGUUAAAUGGAUGGUUGUUAUGAAUGUUAUUUUAUGUGGAUAUUCAUGGAAUGUACUUGGAACAUCAUGAUUAUAUGUAAACUUUAAUUAAUUUAUAUAUGGAGCGUUAAGAUUUUGAAGCGUUGGAUCUCUUUGCAUGCACAAGCAUUUGAUCAUCAAGCACAAAUAUACAGUUUUGAUUUGUUACUUAAAUCUUUCGGUUUUGUGAAGUUAAGAAAAAUUAUCGUGUGUAACAGCUCUAGGUACGUAGAGAGUAUAAUGGUGGAAGUUAAUCAUCAUUAAGGCAUAUAAUCUCCUUCAAGCAAAUCAAUGAGUUCCUCCAUUAAGAUCAACUCGAUAUCAAUAGAUCUCGCAGGCGCUGCCAACGAGAUUAAUAUGGUAAAAUGUGAUCACUUCUCCAUACGGUGAGCCUACUAUAUAUUGACAUUAUGUUAUCAACCUUCCUUGUUUAAACUAUGAUCAUAUUUUCCUUUACUUUGAUAGAUAUUAUAUGUAUUUAUAUCACUUCCUAAUGCAUACACUAUUAGUAAGAUACAAGAUGAAAUGACAUGAAUAUAUCGAGUUUUCUUCUUAUAAUUCAAUGCAGUGGAUUCGUAGCUGAAACGCGUGAGAGAGACCAUAGAAAAUGUUGGCCAUUCUCAGAAGAGAGUGUUACUUUGGGGAAUCAACAAAGCUAUCCCCUUCCUUCUUCAUCUGUUCCAAAGUUUAGAUGGUGGCGUUGUAUGAGCUGCAUCAAAGAUAUCAAUGCUGAUGGGAUAAAGGGUAUACUUACUUAUUUCCAAUAUUUUGUGUAAAUGUUCUAUACUAGCUAGAGAGAAAGGCUGCUUGAACAUUUAAAUGGUUGUUUUAAGAUUUAGGACUGCAUGCAAACUCAACAAGUAUAAGCGGGGAAAAGCUAGAUGAAACCUCUUCGGUUAUCCCUAGUCAAAGCAAAUUGAAUCCACUAAUUAUCACCGAUCAGGAGAAAGAAAGGAACAAUGAUAUUGCAGGUAAUUAGAAUCUGCUUGUUUUAGUUUCAUAAUUCAAACCAACCGUAAUAAUUUUUGUAUUAUCAUUUUUUCAGGUAGUGCUGUUGUGGAGAAUGAGAAUGUAAACUGUGAAAGAUCUCAGAAGGAUGAUCAGACAGGUAAUAUAGUCUUCUCUGGUCUAGCAAAUUAAAGCGUGCAGAUGAAAUAAAACUAACUUUGUGAAGCUGAAACAGUUGCAGCUACUACGUUAGUCAAGAAAGUUCAUCCUCCAUCUAUGGAUGCUUCUACUGUUAGAAACAAGAUCAGAAAGCUUGCGAGUCGAGAACAAGUAGGCAACAAGAGAUCUAAAGUAAGCAACUCAUCAACGGAUACUAGCAGCUGGAAAGAGAAACAAAACGUGACAACUUUUGCAUCAUCAGAGAUAGCUGGUGUGGUUGAUGAUACACCACCUAAGGCAAUCAAGAAUCGUCAUAAAGACGACAAGGUGUCAUCAGAGAGUAUAAAUCUUGGGUUCCAGCGUAGGAAAACUCGCAAGGUUCGUCUACUCAGCGAGCUGAUAGUUGACCCCGAGACCAAAGCUACUGGUGGUAGUAACAAUAUAAGACAAGAAGAGUCUUCUUCUUCUUCGAAGGCUAGAGGUAGAAAAAGAAAGGUACCACCUGAAAACAACUAUGUCAGCCGGAAACUAAGCAAAGGCGGCGCAACUUCUGAUCAAGGUGAUAGUGAUUCAGCAGAUAGUGGGUUUGACAGAGAUCUUAUUAAGGGUAAGAAGAAGAACAGAAGAUUCCAGGUUGUUGACGAGUUUGUACCAUCACUUCCUUCUCAAGAGGGAGUCCAUGAGAAUGAUGCAGCAGGUCCUAGUAAGAGUGCUUUAUCCAAGGAUAAAGAUUCGGUUCCUCAUAGAACAGAGAAGAAGCUCAAGAAGAAGAAAAACAAGCCUGUAAUGGAUAACGGUUUUAGUUCUGGUCCUUCCAUAAACACAAGCUCUCAAUCUACUAGAGAUUUAUUGAAUGAGGAAAGGGUUGGUAACUCACUUGACGACCGUUUGGCUGCAGAAGGGUAUUUCAGAAAACCUAUCCCUCCUCAGGUUAAUAAUGAUAGGCCGGUCACUUCUUUGCAUGUGCCAGAGAAUGCACAUGCGAGGCAAAGAGAUGCAGAAGCAAGCAGUCUUCAAGAGUUUGGUUCCUCUUCUAGACCAAACACAGGUGGAUGGUUGAGAACUGGAGUGGAUGCUGUUGACUUCAGCAGCACCACCAACAACAAUACAGAUAAAGGCUUUGCAGAUCUAUUUUCUGUGCUGCAAAAGGUAAAUGCUUUGUUCUUACAUAUCUACCAGAGGUCAUUAGCUCAACUGGAAAGGACCCUGGCCAUUGUGUCAGAGGUGCCCAAACGAAACUAAUAUUAUACUGUGGUUUCAGUCCCGACCCUCCUGGUAUUAAAAAAUGGUUUUGUUCUUACAUGACUUUAGUUAGAGCUCUAUAUUGUUGUGUCUUCCAAAUUAGUGUAUUAAUGGAAUCAUUUUACUUGGCAGGAAGCUUCUGGUGCAGACAGAAAGGGGAAGACAGUAAUGGUCCAAGAACAUCAUGAACCACUCGGAAGCCAAAGCCAUGAUAGAAAUGAGAACACACCUGAAGAGGCAAACGAUGAUAUCACCUUGGAGAUAGCCGAACUCAUGGCCAAAAACCAAUACGAGAGGUGUCUUCCAGACGAAGAAGAUGACGUAAGCAACAAGAAACCACCACCACAAGAAGAGACACCACACAGAUCCAAGAACGCUCUCCUGAUUGAUCUUAACGAAACCUAUGAUAACGAGACCUCACUGGAGGAUAACAACAACAACACAUCAAGACCGCAGCAGAAACCUCUGGACUUCUUCCCAUUAAGACAGCCUUACGUGCCUUCUUCUCCGUUUGGGAUCUUUCCUCCUCCUACUCAAGAGAACCGAUCUAACUCCAUCCGGUUUUCUUCUGGUCACAACAACCCCCAGUGGCUUGGGAAUGUGCCAGCAAUGGCUAACCAGCAUCCAUCUUCCUCCUCAUAUAGAGUGUUACGUGGGUGUAACACGUGCUACCAGAGUGUUCCUCAUCAGUACAGAGAACCAGCUUCUUCUCAUCAGAUCUGGCCACCUUCCAUUGUGCAACGACCACAGUGUCAUCAUCAUCAGACACCAGUUUCUUCUUUCAACAUGGAUCAGUCAACGAGGCUUGGUCCCACCAAUAACAAUACGUGGAACCUCAACUUUGUUACCCCCAACGGGAAGCAAAGAUGUGAUGGUAAUAGAUCAAUGGACGCUAAUGAGAGCUCUAUACCUGCAUUGAAUCUGCUCAGCCUUAUGGAUCCUAGGUUGAGAUCAUCAAACGCUCCCGUUGACCACCAUGGGAACGCUAAUUUCACUAGAAGGCACUUUCCACCGUCUAAGGAACGUAUAGGGAUUGAAACAGGGGACUCUAGUAAGACAGCUUACCCAAGUAAACAGUCUCCUUUCAAUUUCUACAGCAACGGAUACGCACCUGAGGCUUCCCGGAAGAGUUUCCCUAUCGGUCCACCACUUGGUACGUCGUCGUUUUCGUUUCAAAGUGCACAAGCAGCUCCAUGGAGUCAUCAUCAUCAUCAUCAAGAGCAGAUAAACAAGAGCAAAGACGCGGUGUUUCCUGGCAGCAAUGACCAAGGGAGAUUCCAGAUUCUCAGGGGAUCUAACUCCGUGAAGCUCCCUUUGAAGGAAAUGAACCAAAAGAGGAAAGCAGAGAGCUCCAGUAACGCCUCUGCGUUGCCUCCUAAGAACAGUUCAGCGUCCUUCGUGUGCAGCGUGAAUAGAAACCCUGCUGAUUUCACCGUUGCUGAACCUGGGAAUGUUUACAUGUUAACGAGUGAGAAUCUCAAGGUGGUAAGAAAACGUGCACCCUACAAGACAAAAGCAAGCUUGUGUAAGGAGGAUGCAAUGAAGCAGAGUAAGAAGACAGUUGGUCCAGUUACAGAAAAUGCCUAAAGAUUAAUACAAAAUGGAAGAGGUUUCUUCAGGUAAAUUGCUAUGCCUAUAGAACUGAGUUUUAUUUAAGUUUAGUUACUAGAAGUCUAGAACAGAGAUUAUUCUUGGUCUCCUUCAGUUCUAACAAAACAUGGGUUUCUCUUUGUGAAACAGACGGUGAGAGGAAGAGGGAUGCAAAGAGGCGCACCAGUCCUGUUGAAGUCAAUAAUAAGUCAGAAAGGAAACAGUAAAGCGAAUCUUCUCAGUUACUUCCUGUUCUUGGAUACACAUCUCUUUUUUUUCCUUGUGUUUGAUCACUCAUGCUUGGUAACAUUUAGUGUGUGUAUAUACCUUAAAUUACUGUACUACCCUUGAUAGGUCUUGUUUUUCUUAAGAUAUUUUUGUUGCGCUCUUUUAUUUAUACAGUCCCUAUUUAUACCGCUGGCAUUAUCUUUUUAUUUUUCGGUCUAAAUGUUACCGUUACGACCGGUAUGAGUUGUCUUUUUACAGUGUCAGCUUUAACAACGUCACAGGAAAACCUAAAAAUAACUCUUCUAAAGUUUUUCCACUUAUCUGAAGAAAACUCAAGCAAGUUAAUUUUAAAUUUACAUCUUAAUUUUUGUUUGCAAAGUAAUUGUGAAUUAACUACAGGUAGGUGGUGGACUUGUGGUUUAAAGUCACUAGUAUAAGUUUAAUUUGGAAGAUGUAAAUUCACGCCUUAAAUAUGGUAUUCUCAACGGUUGGCCAUGUAUAUGGGUUAGAUUAUGAACUACAAGUUUGGACUUUCUAAAAUUUAUCAAGAAACAAUAUUCAAUUAAAAUGCCAAGAGUUGUUGAACAAUAUGCGAAAAACAAAAACAAAAAAUUUUGGUCAAGAAAUAUGCUAAAUUUAUAAACCCUAAAAAUUACUAAAGAAAUGGUAAAAGGUAGGAAAUAUCUAUUGUUACUCAAAGAAGUUGGAUAUUCGUUGGCUCUAUUUGGAUGUGAAUGGAAGGUGGGAGUGGAGAGCAGUGAGAAAUUAUAUAUGGUUUAAAGUUUAAAGCGAUCGAGAGUGGGGAGAAAGUUAAGAUGGUUUCAUCAAAUGUAACAUGACAAGAAAGGAAAGGUGCACAGAAAAAUUCUAAAUUAAGCAAUGAUGUAUCCACUGUGGUUUUUUGUAAAAACGCAUUUGGUGGAUCGCAAAGCUAAUCUGUGAGUAAUAGUCAUAAGAAGAUCUGGGUCAAGAACUUCGUAUAAUCCAAAGAUCUGGGUCAAGAACUAUAUUGUAGACUGAAAUUUCAAACUAUACAACUAAUAGAAGUUGUGGUGUGUAACAUAUGGGGAAAAAAUUAAAAGCAAUGAGAGUCAAAGAGUACUUGAAAUUGUCGGGAGAGAAGCGGACGGGGGCCUGCGAUGCAUCCCAGUCGGAUGCGUAACGGAUCUACAUAAUGAAAAGGCAGAAGUUGACAAAAAGUACAACUUCUCUCUUUUUAUUGAGAAAGAAGUGUUGGUUUUAAAGAGUGUGAAUCAUUAGUUAAAACUCAAAUAUAUAAGAUUGGUGCUAAUUAAUCACAUCACUGUAUUGAUGCUAAUUAACCACAUCACUGUAAAUUAUUUACACUAUAUAAUAACGUGAAUAACAUCUAUAAAUAUUGGAUGUAUAUACUAGAGUAUGAUGAAAUUUCAAGACUAAUAAAAUUAAGAAUUUGGCGAGGGUACGGUUAUGGACUUAACAAGUACUUAACAUUGGUAAUUGCUUAUUCAGAAACUGUUAAAUGGUACUAGAAUGAUUAAUUCAAUGUAGCUUAGGUGGUUACGACUCGAGAGUAUUGGUACCAUCAUUAACUCAUUGUAAAAGGCAAAACAAACCUUCUUCAAGUCAUUUCCUCCCUCGGCCAACCUAUAUUUAUAACUAAAGAGAUAUUCCUGCGGGACUGAGCCCUCAUGCCAUGUCGGUUCAGCUCUUGUAGGACCGACUUUUGAGUGUUGGUAGUUAUAAUUAAAGAGCUACUUGGCCCUGAUCCAUACAUUGCAUUUAGUAGUUAAUUGUGGACUGAUCUGCAAAAAAAAAACUGAAAAGGAAUAAGACAGAUUUAAAUAGAACAUAAAAUCAAAUUAAAUUCUCUAAACAAGCACCAAUUCGUCGGAUAAAAUCAUAGGGUGAAUUUGCUAGAUAAAAUUCUCAGAUUAUUUUGAAUUAUGUUUUCAAAUAAUUAGCACGUUCAAACCAAUAUUUUAUGUCAAUUUGAGAACUUUCGAUAAAAAUAGACGAAAUUUAAAAUUAAUUUACUAAAACCUUUCCACAUAUAGUUUUUGUUUAUUCGCCCAAAAAAUCAUCAUAUAAUUUCUUCAUCUGUAAAGUUCUUUUAGAAGAAUGCAAGACUCUUACGUUCAUUGGCUAUUAUAUGUUUUGAUGUCUAGACUUUGACGUAAAAUACUUCACAUUUGUGUAGAAAAAUAAGUAUGUUUUGAAUAUGUGAUGAUUUUAAUUCCUCCUGUAUCUCAAAUUAAUGGUAGUUCUCGUUAUUCUGCUUAACGAUUUUGGAUUCUGGAGUGACCAUAUAUUUCUGUUAAACAUUAGGUAUUAUUGAUAUGUUAGAUACCUCGUUAUUCCUUGUCAUGAUUCUAGCGAGAAGAUCAUGAUUUCUUAUAUCUUAAAAAUGACAAUCUGGAGAAACGCUAGAUUAAUUACACUAACCUGAAUAACAUCAAUAAAAUAAUGGAUGUAUAUAUUACAUCCUCGUUAAUUUGUAGGUUCGAAAUGUGCAUUAGUUAACACGUACAUUGUUUUUUCAUAAGUAACGCGUACAUUGUUUUUCUAAUAAUUAAUUAACACGUACAUUGUUGAUGUACGUUACUUUCUGAUAAUUAAAACAAUGCAGGUGGACGUGUUACGUAUGUCGUCAGGUGUUAAUUUUUAUUUAACAGUACCUUUGUUUACACCAAUUCUGAUUUUAUAGGAGAGCCAGAAUGUAGUGAUUUCUUUGGACCUAUAAUUUAUACAUGAUUCGUAUCAUUUGAUAAUUGAUUGAAGAGUUGUAAGACUUGCAAUAUCAAAACCAAGACAAGAUAUUAUAGGUUUUAGUAUAUAUGUUAAUUAUAUAGUACAGUACUAAAGCUAUAUAUAUAUAUAUAUAUAUAUAUGAAAUGACCUGGACAUGUUAGGUCUCUGUGACUGUGGAUUUGUCUCUCAGCUACUAAUCAGAGAAACCAUCACAUGUUAAUGCCAAUAGUUAGUCGGAAAACCAAACCAAGAAGAGGCAAAACACACGAGUUUUCUUAUUUCUAAAUUAAGUAUAAUCUCUUUCAUCAGACAAGAAUCAUAUGGUUAAUUGAACCUAUACCGACGCCUGAGAAGCUAUGAUUGAAAAUAAAGAUUUUUGCACUUGCAAAGACCAUUCUAGAGUUUACGAACCUAGGAGUUAACAUGUUUGCACACAUCUAUAUCUAUAAUGUACAUAAUAAGUAAUACUAUCAACAAACAAAAUAAUUAGAAGAAGCAAUAUAAAAGUUGGUUCGUUCGAAUUUCACAAGCGGGUUUGUUGCUAAUAAAUCAUCCGAACAGUUACAUCGUCGUUUAGGAUAAUUUAUGUAGGCAGAACGACUAUAUAAUAGUAUAUGAGAUCUCAUACUAUUACUGUAUACACAUAUAGGAGGCAGAGUCACAGAGACGAAGGCCCUGGCCCACUGGCCCACACUUCUUUAACAAAAGAACUACAAGCCCGUGACCCCCAAACUAGAUUUCCAGAUUUAUUUUAAUCUGACAUAAUAUCCACCGUUGGAGUUUACUUUCCUAUGUCCCACUCUGAGCCAGAUCCAACCGUCCAUAUUCCUCAAGGGUCGUCAAUAGGUGGCUUUUUCUUCCUCCUCUCGCUGCACACACUCCCUCCAGCGCCAGCGCCACCCCCCUCGCUACUUCCUCCGCCGGCGCCACCGCAAUUUCUUCGCCGGAAACUCCUUUUCUGUAGACGACGGCAAGUAUGCUUAUGGCGUAUUCUCUCCCUCUCCCUGCCAAUCUCGCCAUCACCGCCACCAUCGCCGGCACCGUCAUCGCCUGACCACGAACCUCCGCCGCGCCUUCCGCCGUCGUGCACAUGAGCUCAAGCGCAGCUAAAGCUCGCUCCAACUCAGUGAUCUCUAGUCCCGCCGCAGUUUCCACAACCGCUGGCGGCUCCCGCCUCAAAUCGCCACGUGGCGGUCAACUUCGGCGAGGCAGAGCGCGAGGAGGAUCUUGGUGACGUGUUUGGCAGUUACGAUGCUGUUGCUACGAAGGCAAGAGACGAGGCCUCGCAUGAGACCCGGAGGACAAGUCUGAAGAGCGAGGAGCUUGUUGGAUUCGGAGAGGGAUGUGACUUGUGAGGUGAAGCUCAGCGAUCUGGAAUGUUUCUUGGAGAGUUGUUGUGAUUGGAAGAGGCAGCGUAGGAGGAGUAACGGUGGAUGGAGUUUGAUCAAGGUGAUGAGGGAAGCGCCAUUGAGUGAAACUUUGAGAAGUGGAGGCUGAUGAGGAUGACGAGGAGGAAGUGGUAGUUUGCUUACGGCGAGGUUGCUGGUGAGGAGAGGUAGGACUGAGAACAGACUGUGUGCAGCGGCGGAAGAAGCCACAUGAGAAGAGAGGACGCGAUGGCGCGUGGGGUUUCGGUUUCUCGUUUGCCUUCAUCAUCACUCGAGAGAUUUCGAGUGAAGCAUGCAAAGCAAAGCGUCUCUUUUUAAAUAGUAAGAAAAUAAUUGGUUCGCACCAAAUUUGUCAGGCGUCAUACGUUUGUACUCUCCCUAACAUUAUACUCGUUAAUCAUAUAAACACUCUUAAAUUUUAAUAAUGUGUAUUUUUUUGUCAGCUUAAUAAUGUAUAUUAUAUAUAGAAUAUAGAACAUUGUCCAUGAAAAUAUAUUGUAAAUUCAAGGUAAUGAUUAAACUAUUUUUUUUUUACGUAUAAUAUAUUUGUAUUUUUAGUUAAAAUCAUAAUCUGAAAACGACAGAAGGCAGGAUGAUCUGGGUCCUUAACACAUAAAACUAGUCUGAAACACAGACAUAAUCUUUCUGCUACCCCAAAACGUUAAAAAGAAGCUUCUAUAAAUAUUUUGCUCAAAAAAACGAAGCUUCUAUAUAAACUUCAGAAGGUUCAGCGCAAAACUCUCGAAUGUGGCAAAGUGUUACAAACAAGAGUCUCUAUAAAGUACUUAUUUUCCAAAGCCUAACAACAAGAAGCAAGUUACUUAACCAAUGGUUAUUUUGCUAGUAGUACCAAAAAAAUCAUAUUGUACAAACUGUGAAAAAUAAUACCUUAAAAGGAUCCAACAAUCACCUCCAUUUUUCGCUUAGUUCUUUCUUCUUUGAAAGGAUCCAAGUGAUGUAUAUAGCUGCAACGAGUGCCACAAUCGUGAUCAAGAGAAGUGCGUAGCUGAAAUCAUCGGUAAGCGAGUCAUAGGUCUUUGAAGGAGCAAGCCUUGUGUAGAAGAGAUCUACUCCAUAAGCAAAGACGUGUGUUGUUGACUCUAGCUUGGCCGGAGCUGUUACUAUGCCUCUUAGACCUUCUACUUUGAGGGAGUGUGUGACGUAUGACUGGUGAAAUAUGACAAAGCUCAUUACAAUCCCACAAACUAAAACCAGGCACAUAAACCAAACAAAAGUAUGGACAAUGGGUAAGAGUGAACCUGAGGAAUGACGGGUAAUGAAUCCGUGAGAGGGAUGAUUCCUUCUUCUUUCUCAGCUUGCGAGGGGUUAAGUGUCCGGCGUGGAUCCACAAAUCGUUUACCAAGUGCCAAUAUCUCAUCAUUCAUUCAAAACAGUUUUUAGUAUCAGUUUUUCCAAUACAUAGAGGUAUUUUUAUAUAUGAUAUGUAAUCUGCAAACCUGAUCCCCGAUGGUACCAAUGAGAAGCUACAUUCUUAAAAGCUCUAGAUUUUGAAUCCAACAAUUAGCAGACUUGUGUAUCAUCGUCGUGUCUAAAGUUUCCAUUCAUCUUUGUUUGUUUCUGCCAAACCACCGACGUAACACCACCUAUCAUCUAAUCGUUUCUUAAUCUCAACUCUUACUAUCUUCGUCGUGUGACAUGCGAUACUUUUCACCAUUGUAAUUGUAAAAGCUUUCUCCUAAGCAUCCAAUUUCAAAAUUGCUCAAAAGCCUCUAGAAGAAAGAAACGACGACUAUGGCGGCAAUAAGGGUUUAGACCAGAAACGGAGUUCUCUGCUUCGAAGCAGGAGUCUAGGUACGAGUGGGAGCUUUUCAAGGAGAACGUUAGGCUCAGCCUCUUAAAGAGAACGCAAUGUUCUCUCUAAUCUCACAUCAACCACCAAUUAAGAAGAAUCACGUCGAGAGAAAAUGGAUGUAAAGCUUUCAUCAAACUUUAUCAUGAUGAGGAGCAGGUCGAUAGAAAUGGUGGUGGUGGAUAACCUUUGCUUGGAAUGCAAGCCAAAGGGGUUCUAGGGCUCAGGGAAAGGAAGAUGCAGAGUAAGAGUGGUAGGGCUUAAUUGGGAGUGUUGACUUGACUGUAUGGCAAACUUAGAGAUUCUGUGUAUCAAUGCUGGGAUUGAAGAUAAAGAACAUGGAUAUAGACGUGUAAGAGAAUAUCUAUCAAACCAUGCAUUUUUUUUUCCUUUCCAUUAUCUGUUCUUUUUCCGUUUUGUUGUCAGAUUUUUUUAAACGUCUUGUGAUCAUUCAUGUAUUGUUGUGUGUUCAAGUAUUUUGUGGAGUUGUAAGUUUGGGGAUCUAAUGAGCUUAAUUAAUUAUUUUCUAUAAUUGUUACAAGCAAAAGUCACUUAAUUGAGGAUCAUAUUUAUAUAGUUUCAUUCUUCAUUUUCGGUCUAAAUGUUAUCGUUAGAACCGGGACGAAUUGUCUUUUUACAGUGUCAGCUUUAUCAACGUAAUCGUAUAGAUCAAAGUAAUUGUUUUCUUAUAACAUAUCAGCAGUUGUCCUCCUAUUAAAUAGCUAGGCUUAUACAACUAACCGGGACCAGAAAUAACAGUGACUUGGAAUGCUGCGCCCUGUGAAGCCAUGUUUCCCACACCAUUUGGCCAUCAGGAAGGUUCCAGGCUCUUAACAUACUUCCUUGUGAUGAAAGCGUGAUAACAUCUGAAAUAAUAUGAAGCAAAGAAAAAAAUAAACAGAGUUCAAGACCGUGGCAGGUGAAAGCAAAUAUAGUGUUUGGUACAUGAUCCAACUCCUACAUUUUUCCAAGGCAAUAUCAACACCAUCGAUAGCAUCCUUUGUCCCGAGAACAUGCCGCCAAACUGCAGCAAAUUUGAAAAACAAAAUAAGAUUAAGAGACUCCAAGACUGAACAUGGAUAGCAAAAAAAUAAAAAAAUAAAAUGGAAAUCAAAUCACUAAAUCUUACAAAUGUCGCCAAGUCUGAGAUCAAGGGAAGCAACAACAUUCUCCUCGGUAGAGACGAUAACACGCUUUCUCCCAGUCUUCCGAGUGUGGAAUACUGCGUGCUUCACUUUCCCAAUGAACCGUUGGUGCAUACACAGUACAACAGAUCGCAUCUCAAUGGUAAUCGAAGUAUUACAUAACUGUCUAUGCUAAUGAGUUGUAAAAUACUUAAGUGACAGUUAAUACACUACAGAUUGGUGUAAUCUGAUCUGUGAAAACGAUAGUUGGAAGACCAGUAGUAGGUUUACGAGAAAAUUGGAUGAGAGUUACCAAUCCAUGAGGCCGAUCGACUCGAUCUUCGUAAAGAGAGAAAGAUACAAUUGCAAAUGAUAAGAAGAUGACAAGGAGGAGAGAAACUCUAAUCAUGACGACGAAUUCUCUGACCAGUCUUUUCUUCUGUUAGUGGUGGUACCAGCAGAUUUGGAGAGGGACUAGAGUUUUGAGCCUGGGAUUUUAAUUAAUGAACUUUAAUUUUAAUUUUAUUUUAUUCGCCUCACGACAACUAAUAUUUUAUCUUUCAUUGCUUUUGCUCCGAACGGUGUCGUUUAAGGUUAAACCCGUGAAAGCUCCUCUUCCUGCUCCCAGUUAACCUAGAAAUCAAAAGAUCCUCGAAUUCUCGAUCUGAAUAACCUUGACUUGACUACCAUUUUCUCAAGCCUCAUUUGAACUCCCAUGUCCAUGUGCGACACAGUACUUUAAAAAUAUCUGAGUAGUUAAUGUUUUUUAGUAGAUUAAGUGACAUUUCAUUAACCAAAAGAAAGUGUGUAUCUGAGUAGAUUAAUUGAAAUCUACUCAUAUUAACGUGUAAUUAACAUUUCUUUAAACAUAUCUGAGUAGAUUAGUGUUUUUUACUGUUUCUUAUCAACCAAAAUAAAGUGUGUAACUAUCUGAGUAGAUUAAUUGAAAUCUACUCAUAUGAACGUGUAAUUGACAUUUGUUUUAAAAUAUCUGAGCAAAUUUAUAUUUUUUCUAAUUUUUUUACUCGGAUAUCUUUAAACUUUAAAGUAGACCCUUAAAAUAUUUAAAAAUGUAUUUUUAAUGCCAAUUGGACUAGUAUUAAAAAAAAAAGACAUUUGGACUCUGAGAAAAAUAUUAUAUAUUUUAAAGUAUAUGAAAAUCAAAGUAAUAAUAUUAAAAAAAAUAACUAAAAUAAGUAAGCGAAACUAAUUGAAACCAAUAAAAUCCAUGAUAAAAAAAAAAACUAAUAAAAUCCAAGUGGACUAGUAUCCAUUAUUAAAACUCCCAUGGAUUCAUAUGAAAAAUAGCAAAACUUUUAAUAUAUUUAUAGUACUAUUAAUAAAAGUAAUAAAAAUGGAAAAAGUAGAUUGCUCAUCUUUCACAAUUAUAAAGACCUAUAUUUCAGUUAAAGAAGACUUAUAUAUUUGAACGUGCAAGGAGAUCUAACACACAUAAAACUUCAAAACAUUAAAACAUUGACAUAUAACUCAUGAAUUCUGUUGUUAAACUCCUCGCGUUCAUAUUUAUAUUCACAAUUUCUGCAGUUCGAUCGAGAGAAAUUGAAGAAAAUGUGAAAUUCUUCAAGGUACAUUGAUGUAUUAUAUUUAUAAACACCAAACUAAUAUUAUAUGUAUAAUAUCUUAUGGUACUCAAUAUAUUUUGUCAUAGUUAAAUGAAAAGGUCAUAUACGAUUGUGUGGAUAUACAUAAACAACCUUCGUUGAGUCACCCACUACUCCAUAACCAUAAAAUCCAGGUUUCAUUCUGUAAAAUGUUAUUCUUAUAUGUUUUUUCUUUUAAGAUUUUUAUUUUUAUAUUUGCAUUUAGAUUACAUUUGAUAUAUUUAAAAUAUUUUGAUUCUGAUUUUGAUUUUAUUUUAGAAUAUUUUUAAACAAAGCACUAUUUUCUGUUAAUUGUAAAUGAAAAGGUCAUAUAAUUAUUUUAACUAGUAUUUAAACAAAACACUAUUUUCUGUUAAUUGUAAAUUAAUUUUGUAUGGCUACAACAUUGUAUUAUAUAUAUAUUGAAUUUGGAAGAUUUUAAGUGACUUUAUAAAGUCAAAAUUUUGAAAUAUAUUCCAUAAAAUAAGUCUUUGUGUUUUUAUGUUAGUUUUAACUUGUAUUCUGUAUUAUUUGGAUUAAAUCUAAUAUAGUUUGAUUCACAUAAUAUACUUAUUGUGUAUCUAUCUAAUUUGAAUAGAUGGAACCAUCUUUUUCGAUACCUAACCCAAAAUAUAAAGGUAAAAAAGGAAAUAAAAUUAAAAGAACCAUCGACUGUCCAAAUGGAAUGGUUCCUAUACAAAGGAACACACAUGAAUAUGUUGCAAAUGGUAAAUAUUGGGCAGAAAAACAUUCUACUCCACUUACGGUCGAAAGCCAUGAAACACAUGUAAGUACAACUUUUGAAAUGGUUAAAUUUUGCAAAUAUCGAUAAUCUGAAAAAUUUAUGUUACAGAAACAGAAAUCUAUAAUCUGAUAUAUAUAUUUGAUAUAAAUUUGGAAUUUUGAAGUUUGCCGGAGUUAGAACACAAGAUAAAAGCCCUUACCAUGGUUUGGCUGCUUGGAUGAGUGUGCAUGAUUUGAACGUUAGUAACGACCAGAUUUCCUACACUGCCAUAUAUGUAGAAAGUGGAGUUAACAACAAAGUUAACUCUAUCCAAACUGGUUGGAUGGUAAAAUCAAUGUUGAUGCUAUUUAAUAAACCUUCUUACUUUAAAAUGUAGAAUACUUUAAUUAAUUUGAUGAUAUAUAUAUAGGUGAAUCCAAGUUUAUUUGGUGACAAUCGCACAUGGAGUUAUGGAUUUUGGAAGGUGAAUAUAUAUAUUAUACAUUAUUGCAUAGCAUAUUUCAAACCAUGGAUAAGUGUGUUAAUAGUAAUUUUCUUUGAUUUACAAGAUUGCUUUUCAUAUUCAUUAGGGAUAAGUAAUUGUAAAUUAUAAUUUUCUAAUUUUUCUUAAGUGAAACAUUACAAGUUUUUAUUCCUGAAUCUUCUUUCAAAAUAUUAAAUUAAUAUUAUAUUAAAAAUAUGCAUUCAAAGUAUAAAAAAUUAAACUAACAGUAACAAUACUAAAUGGAAUGAAUACUCAUCUUUUUAUGUUUAAAUGUUAAGCCAAACUAUUUGAAACAUAGUACUAGAUUUCACUCUUUUGAUUUUGUCUCGUAAAUUAUGUUUUUUUCCUAUUUGACUAACCAAACAAUUUAGUUAUUAUAAUUAUGCAGGUUAAUACUAAAUGAAAAAUAAAAAUAUGGACAAAAAAAUAAAAUAAAAAUAUGGACAGUGUUAUUAAUAUUUUAUAGUAUUUGAAAUAUAAAUAACUAACAAAUAUAUUCAUCAGUAAUUAAUUUAAUGCAUAGUUAUUCUUAUAGUAUAAUUUUUUAAAAGUCUUUUAAACUUUUAUGUACAUUAGCUUGAAUUAAUUGUCAAUUGUCAUCUAAGUUAUAUUGAUAUUUUCAAAUUCAAUAUUGUUAGGGUGCCAAUGGAGCAGGCUGUUAUAAUACAAUAUGUCCUGGUUUUGUUCAAGUGUCAAAAACUGAUCUUUUAAGUGCACCUUUUCCUUAUCCCGGCAAAGGACAAGGAGAAAGAGCAGUCUAUACUAGUAUUUUACAAGUAAGAUGAAUAUACUUAAAUUUAUGUUACUAACAUGUUUUCUAGUAGUUAAUAUGUGUGUAUUUUUGAAUAUAUUAAAGGAUAAAAUAACAGGAAAUUGGUGGACAACAGAUGUAAAAUACAGAGGACCAGAUACACAUAUUGGCUAUUGGCCAAAAGAACUAUUUGAUCUUAUAGCUAAUAGUGUGGAUAUGGUUGGAGUUACGGGAGCAGUCCGGGCUUCAUCAUCUGGUAUAAGUCCGCCGAUGGGUAAUGGUCUUCUACCAACUGAAGAUGAAAAAGCGUCUGCACAUGUUAAAAACCUUGAAAUCUUAGAUUCUGAGUUUAUAGUCCAAGAAAGUAACAAAUAUAAUUUAGAAAAGGUAUUAGAUAACAACAAAUGUUAUGGCUUAAAGGAUGGUAAGAAAGGUAUUUCCUUCAAAGAAUCCAUUUUGUUUACAUAUGGUGGACCUGGGGGAGAUUCUUGUGGAAUCUAGUAGUAACUUGUUGAAUCUAAUUAAUGGUACAAAGUAAUGUUUUCGGUUAUCAUAAUGAAUAAUGAAUAAUUUGGAAUUUAUGUUUCAUAUUCAAGUAUUUAAAUCUUUUAUUUAUGUGUAAAGAAAAUAUUAAAUAUUUGGGAAAAUCGCAUAAAAAAUUUUGAAAGUGUCACUUACUAGCACUUUAAACCUUGAAGUUUUUUCAUUAACACUUUUAACCUUCAAAGCGACAUUUUUAUCAUAAAAAACUUUCAAAGAAGAAAAAUGACCGACUGAACAGGUUAAAAACCGUUUUUUUUUCAAAAAUAAUUAUUUAAUUAAUAAAUAAACAAAAAAAUUGAAAAAUUUAACAAAAAACUCAUAAAUUUAAAAAAAAGUGAGAAAAAUAAAUAAAGAUUUAUAAAAUUAAAUAAAAAAUAGCUAAAAUUCAAAAAUAAAUAAGAUCAAAUUAAAAUACAGAAAAUAAAUAAUAAAUUGAAAAAAAUUGAAAAUUCAAAAAAGUUUUUUUUCAUUUUUCGAAUAUAAUGUCGGAAAUUAUCAUUAGAGAUAUGCCAAAAACCGUCAUUGGAGAUAUGUCGGAAAUGACAGUUUUUGGCAUAUCUCCAAUGAUACGGUUUUUGACAUAUCUCUAAUGAUAAUUUCUGACAUUAUAUUUGAAAAUGAAUGUUGAUCAAAAAAAUAUAUUUGAAAAUGAAUUUUUUUUUUGAAUUUUCAUUUUUCUUUUGAAAUUUAUGAUUUUUUUUUAUUUUUCUCUAUUUUAAUUUGAUCUUAAUAUUUUUUUGGAUUUUUUUUUUAUUUUUUAUUUAUUUUUUUAAAUCUUUAUUUAUUUUUCUCAUUUUUUAAUAUAUGAGUUUUUUUGCUAAAUUUUUUUAUUUUUAUAUAUUUAUUUAUUUAUUUUAUUAAUUAAAUAAUUAUUUUAUUAUAUAAUAUGUUCAUUAUAGAUCAUUUACGAAAUUUAUUAAAUAUUAUUUUCUUAAAUACAAUGGACUAGAUACACAUAUUGGUUAUUGGCCAAAAGAACUAUUUGAUCUUAUAGGUGAUAAUUUCAAUCCCUAAACCACAAAUGUUUGUCUUAAACCUCCAAAUCUAAAAUUCAUGGUAUACUAUGUUUACUAUUUGUUAUUAUAUUAUAGCCUACUAUUAUAUAUCCAAUAUUAAUAUCUUUUUCCUUCGUUGAAAAAAUCAAAUAUCACUAGCUAUUCGAAGAUUUCUAUAAGACUUAUACGAUAUAUGAUUACGUUUAUUUUACGAUUAUUAGCAACAACUUGGUGUAAAAGAUAUUGCAUACGACCUUUACAAUGAAAUAUUAGUGUGUGCAAGCUGUAAACUUUUCUUUUUGUGAAUCUUAAAAAAUGAGUUACAGUUAUUUGGGGUUUUUAAAACGACAUAUUAACGACAUUUAACCAGCAAUAAAAUUACAAUUAUUUUUGAAUCUUUAAAAGUUUCUUAUUUCUUAUUGGCCAAUAUCUUUUUGCAAGGAUUGCUAUCUGCACCCUUGAUUAGUUUUUAAUCUAAUGGUUCAUAUUUAUCCUAUCCCUCCUCCUUUCUCCUUCAGAUUUGUUUUCAGUUUCUUCUCACAUUCUCUCCUCCUUCCACACUUCGAUAAUAUUUUAUUUCUUACUCAUUCGUUUCAUCUCCAUAUUCUUACUCCUAUCUCCACUGCUCAUGGCUCUCCUAUCUCCACCGUUCACCUCAUCCUCUUAUCUCUACUGGUCACCUCACCCUUUUAGAUUCACCGCUCACGGCUCUUCUGCCUCCACCGCUCAUCACUCAAGACUUCCUCCUAUCUCCACCGCUCACAGCUUCUAUCGCCGCUCACUCUCUGGUUCCAUCUCUAGCUAUCAAUCGAGAUUCAAUCCCCUCAGGCUCCGGAAUCCCGCCAAGAGAGACGGUCUUGAAGCGACCGGAGCAAAAUGACGACACUUCAGUCCCAGGCAUACCUUGACGGCGCAAGACAACGAAGUCGCAUGAAGAUUUUUUAUUUUUUUUUAGGUGUAGGUUUGUAUUGUAAUCCAUUUUAUGUUUAAACCGGUUUAGUUUGUUAACCAAAUUUAAUUGUAAACCAGAUUUUAUUUAUAAACUAAUUUUAAUUAUUUAUUUUGCAAACCAAUUCCAUUUCUGUAAUUGGUUUAAUCUGAAAGUUUUUAGUUACAUAAUUUAAAACAAAAUUUUCAAAUACCACAUUUAGGCAUUGCAUCGUUAAUUAUUGACAUUUAGAAAGUGAAGCUAAUUAGCAACAUAUGGGUACGUUGUUACUUAGCAUCAGAAACAAAUGUCGUAAAUAAGUGGCAAAAAAAAAAAAAAAAAAAAACAAAUGUCGUAAAUAAGUGGUAUAUUAGCGUCGACAGGUCGUCGGUUCAAUAUAGGAUCCUCCUAAAUGGACACCCACGAGGUCUCAUUAUGCCACACAGAGGUUUACAACAGGGAAAUCCUUUAUCCCCCUAUUUAUUUAUUUUGUGCACUCAAGCGCUGAUUGCAAAUAUUAGGAAGGCGGAGAGAAAAAAACAGUUAACAGGAAUUAAGGUAGCCAGAGCAUGUCCAUCGGUCUCCCAUCUGCUUUUUGCGGAUAAUAGUUUGUUCUUUUGCAAAGCUCAAAGGGAGGAAUGUCAUACUAUUCUCAAGAUUUUAAAGGAAUACGAGGUGACUUCUGGUCAAUUGAUAAAUUUUGAAAAGUUUUCAAUUCAAUUUGGACAUAAGAUCGAGGACUCGCUCAGGCAGAAGUUAAGAGAUAUUUGGGGUAUACAGAAUUUGGGAGGGAUGAGAUCUUAUUUAGGAUUACCAGAAAAUCUUGGAGCUUCUGAGAUUCGAGUUUUUAGUUUUGUGCAGGAUCGUCUAAAUAAUAGGGUCAAUGGCUGGACUUUUAAAUUUUUCACGAAAGGAGGAAAGGAAGUGAUCAUCAAAUCAGUGAUUACGACACUGCCGAACCAUACGAUGUCUUGUUAUCGUUUGCCUAAGGCAACUGCAAAAAAAUUGACGAGUGCAGUAGCACAAUUUUGGUGGAGUCCUGGGGGCAGUACAAGAGGGUUACAUUGGAAAUCAUGGGACAAGGUAUGUGUCAGCAAGGAAGAUGGACGACUAGGUUUCAAGGAUAUAACUGAUUUCAAUACAGCUAUGCUUGGUAAGCAGUUGUGGAGGCUAAUAGAAAAGCCAAACACUUUAUUAAUUUACGGUUAAAUUAGGAUAUCAAGUAGAGAGGAUUUACCCGGAUAGGGAAAGAUCACCAAUAUUAAUUGGACCUACAGUUGAUGUUUUGAAGGCAUUUUGUUGGAAACUAGGGUGCCCACCAAAAAUAAAACAUUUUCUUUGGUAAUUGGUUUCAGGGUGUGUUGCAGUUAAGAAGAAUUUGCAGGUGCGAGGGAUCCAAGGAGAUAUAUGUUGUGCAAGAUGUAGAGAGGAUGAGGAGUCGAUUAACCAUGUGUUUUUUGAGUGUCCUCCAGCAAUUCAGGUUUGGGCGCUGUCAAAGAUACCAACAAAUCCAAUUAUUUUCCCAACAAGCUCUAUAUUUACAAACAUGGAUCACCUUUUCUGGAGAGUUGUUCCACCGAUGGAGGAUCAUCACUUUGCUUGGAUACUUUGGUACAUCUGGAAAGGAAGAAAUAAUAAAGUUUUUAGUAAUCUGGAUAUGGACCCUAGGGACACUCUUAAGUUGGCAGAAACGGAAUCCACACUCUGGGCAGAGGCACAGAUUUUGAAGGACCAGAACACGGGAACACAGGUUCAUGCAUCUCUGCUGUCAAUUCCUGGAAGAUGGUGUUUUACUGAUGGAUCAUGGAAAGAGGGGGAUAUGUUCUCUGGUCAGGGUUGGUUCAGUACUUUAGAAGGUUUUGAAAGUCUAAUGGGAACCAGGAAUGUAAGAGCUUCUUUAACUCCCUUGCAUGCAGAGAUGGAGGCGCUACUAUGGGCUAUGGAAUGUAUGAAGAAUUUACGUCAAUUCCAGGUUGCGUUUGCAACAGAUUGUUCUCAAUUGGUGAAGAUGGUUUCGGAACCAGAAGAGUGACCAGCUUUUGCAAAAUUCCAUUUCUGUAAACUGGUUUAAUCUGAAAGUUUUUAGUUACAUAAUUUAAAACAAAAUUUUUAAAAUACCACAUUUAGGCAUUGCAUCGUUAAUUAUUGACAUUUAGAAAGUGAAGCUAAUUAGCAACAUAUGGGUACGUUGUUACUUAGCAUCAGAAACAAAUGUCGUAAAUAAGUGGUAUAUUAGUGACGACAGGUUGUCGCUAUAUAAGGACAAAAGAAACACGCAUAGAAAUCUGUCACUAAUUAACGACAUUUUAACGACACGCGAUUAAGGACAUUUAUUAGGAUGUUGUAAAUGCGACUCAAAUCAUGGAUAACGACAUAAAAGGGACGUUUUUGACCGUCAUUAACGAUGUGUUUUCUUGUAGCGAUGGUGGACCGGGGGAGAUUCUUGUGGAAUCUAAUGGUACAAAGUAAUGUUUUCGGUUAUCAUAAUGAAUAAUUUGAACCUCAUUUUUCAUAUAUAUUCAAAUAUUUAACUCUUUAAUCUAUGUUAUGAAGAAUAUAUCGGAAAAAAAAAAGAAAAUAGUCAAGAAGAAGAAUGUAUUGAAGAAAAUACUUUUUUUUUUCUGUGAUCUAUCAGUAUGAUGGUAUCUGCAUCAGGUAUGUAACUUUUUGAUGCAGUUACACUACUACAAAACUGAAGAUACUCGUGGGUUGAAACAAAGAUAUUGUUAUAUAUCAUUUGAUCUUACAAUAUUAUUAUGUUGACUCAAUACUUAAUUUUCAUAAUCAUACAUCUACUCAAUACUUUUUUCUAAGAGGAAAAACUUACUAUAUUUCACAUAUAUAACACAACCAACCAAAGAGAUAGAAGAAGAUGCAUAGAUAUCAAAGAUUUUUAAAUCCUAAUUCAUGUUAACAAGCGUAUGCGAGAUGAUAAUAAAAAAAGGUCAACGGAUAAACACUACAAGAAAACAGCGGUAUUCUGACGGACAUUCCGACGGAAAAUGAAAUUCUCAGAAUAUCCCGAGGAAUUUCCGAGGAAACACAAAAUUUGAUUUCCUCGGAAUUUCCUCGGAAUAUACCGACGGAAUUCCGAGGAAAUACUAAUCCGUCGGAAUAUUCUUAUGGAAUACCGAGAAAAAACGUAUUCCUCGGAAAAAAUUGAUGAAUUCCGAGGAUAUAUUAUAGUCGUUAGAGAGCCGUUGGGGGAUUUUUAAAAUUCCGAGGAAAUUCCGACGAACUAGCCGUUGGCGUCGGAAUUCCGUCGGAAUUUCCUCGGUCUGUCGGUAGGAUUUCAACUAUAAAUACAAGCACCCCUCUUCCUCUUCAUUCACUCCAUAUCUUCAUCCUCCCUCUUACUCUCUUUACACACGAAUUUGAUUCAUAAAAAACAUGUCUUCUUCAAAUUAUUUUCGUUCUUGGAUCGAUCGACCUCAUUUGNNNNNNNNNNNNNNNNNNNNNNNNNNNNNNNNNNNNNNNNNNNNNNNNNNNNNNNNNNNNNNNNNNNNNNNNNNNNNNNNNNNNNNNNNNNNNNNNNNNNAUAUAUAUAUAUAUAUAUCAACGCUUGUCUAUAUGUAAGAAUAAUAGUUAUUUUAUGAAUUAAAUUUUGCUUAUUAUACUUUAAUAUGCUUCAUGAUUUAAUGGUAUUAAGGAAACAUACUUUAUGAUUCAUGGUCUAACAUCAUAAAAGAAAUUAUUUGUAAUCGGUUAGUUUUGUUGUCGAUUAGUCUUUGGUCUAAUAUCAUAAAAGAAUUUGGAUUAUAUGUUGAUAUUUACUAAUGUAAUGGCCAUGUUUAUAUGAGCAAAAAUUUAAAGUUUUCAGGAUUGUGUAUUCUCUCGGAAAGAUAUGUACAAGUUAUCAGCCAAUUCAGAAACGUGAACAGCUGAAACUUUCAUCGCCGAUAUACUUCUGUUUAUAAGAUAAGUAUUUUUAUGCUUUAUAUACAAGUUUAACAAACUUGAUUAGAUAAAUCAAUUUGCAUGAAGUUGGCAGUGAUAUAAAUUUGUUCAUUAAAUUGAUUGAUAGGUUAAACUUUGUUAAAAAGCAUGAGAGUAAUAAUAUAGUUUAUAUAAUAAUUACUAUGAAAGUUUUAUUUAUUUUCUGAUAGAAUAAGACACCUUUGUUAAUACAUAUUUAUAUAUAUUUGAAAUAUUUUGAUUUUAUUACCAUUUAUAUUGAGGAUUUUAAGUUUAAAGCUUGACUCUAAAAGAUCCAUAAGUUUUGGAAGAUAAUAUAUAUAAAAAAGGUAUUAUCACCUGAAGUGAUUACCUAAAGCUCAUUUUGUAUUUUGCAUUUAAAGAUUACAAGACCUGAAAUCGGUAAAUAAAGCCAACUAUGUUGGAUGUUAAGUUUAAAAGUAAAAUUUCUUCAAGAAAUUGUUUUAUGAUGCAUAUAUAUUGAAAAAAUAUCUAUUGAUAAAUCACGUCUAGUUGAUUAUGAUUCAUUCUCCUGAAGAGAAUAUGACAUUUAAAAACUCAUAAAUUGUGGUUUUAGACGUGAGCAUAAAUGAGGUCAAGGUCCAAAGAGUUUCUUUAUAGAACUUAUACUCUCACUUAAAGUUGAGAAAAUAAACAUGGUAAUAAAGAAAAGAAAUUAUGAAUUCAUCUGAAGAUGAAAGAAAAUUUAUUGUGUGUACAAUACAAGGUAGUAAAACUUAUAGAAUGCUUAAAAAGAGGAUAUAUAUGAUGCUCCAGAAGUAUACAUAGUAUUACUGUACAUAAAAAUUUAAUUUAAAGUUCUUAAGAAUGCAAUUUAAAGUUCUUAAGGUAUUGUAUUUUUAUAAGUAUCAAAAGUUAAAAGGAUCUACGAAAAAUACAUAACCCAUGUAGGAUAUGUUGUUGAUUAAGAAAAUGAGAUACAUUCGAGAUUGAUAAACCUGUAGUAUUAUACUCUCGAGGGGAAGAGUUAAAGAAUCUCACUUUUUAUGAUAAGUCAAACAUCCAGAAGAUUAUGUUUACACUAAAACUAAGAUUAAUGAAUUUUUCUCAAAGUAAAUCCGUAAGAUUUUGAGACACUUAUGUUGAGACAAUAAGCAAACGAAAUGAUAUAUACAUUUCAAUCAGAAAUAAUUCUCAAAGCAGUAUAAGUAUUUUAGAGAAAAUAUCUACAGCCUCUUAUAUAUUGUACUACACAAAGAUUAGUAUAAUGAAGAUAAAUGUAUAGUAAACUAGAAGUUUACAUUUGGCAUGAAUCAGUUAGACCAUUUUGGUUCAUUAAUAAUGCGAAUAUAUACUUAAAGGUCAUAUGCAUAGUCAUAUAAGAACCAGAAGAUUCUUCCGAAUGAUUUGACAUAUGUUGCUUACCCAUAAGAUAAAAGGGUAAUAUGGUUUUCACCAGCCAAAAUAAGAUAUUGGCAUAAAUAACGAAGAUGUUAGUGGACUGAUCACCCACUAUGCAUUUUUAUAAUAUUGGUGAAUUCACUUCUUAAAGUCUUUAACGACUAUAGCACAUUCACUGAGAUAAGUGCUAAACAUUUUGAGCAACAUUGGAUCGCAUCAAGCCAAUAAAUUUUUACUAGUUCUCCCCAUCAUUGGUAUAGAAUCAGAAACCAAUCAUUUUCAUCUAAGAAUGUUGGAUGUUGCUCCGCCACAGAGCUUCAAAUGAAGAUGUGUUUUCAAAUGAGGUUGGAAAUAUAUGUUGGAUAUAAAUCUCUAUUGACACUUAAGAAUCCAGAGCCAUCCCCGAAAACUAUAAGUAAGGCUAUACAUGAAUUCUAAAAGUGAGUUAGUACUUCCAACAUAAGGGGGAGAAAAUAAACAGCUGGAAAAGAAAAUAAGUUGAAAUGAAUUAUCAUUGAUCCUCGGGCUAAACACAAUGUGAAAUAGAAGUCCAAAAGAUAAUUCAUUUCAAAACUUACUAAAGCAGUUGCCAGACACGACCCAUAUAAAUAUAGUGAUCAAGUCACAUAUACCAGCUGUAAAUGCUCCAAUAAGAAUAAAUGUUCUACAAGAACAAUAUCAAACUGCUAGUCACGCCUGCAGCGUGGUAGACAGAUUGGUUCCAAAGAUAAAUCCUCGUAAAUGAAAAAGGAGCAUAUAUUGAUAAUGGUCAAAACGAGGCAAUAUAGUUUUGUAUGAUCUCCAGAAGAGAAAUUAAACAUGACUGACGAAAAUUCAGGUACCUGAGACAAAUGAAGAGAUCGCAAUAAGUUAUGUCAUGUAUGAAACAAAAUGGAACCGAUAAGAAAAUUGACGUCGAUGAUAUUAUACAUGCAAAGUAGCAGUUGAUAUAAUAAAUGAGAAAGAGGAUCAUGAAAGAAAGUCUAUUGAAAAGUGUACACAAAGAAAUGAUUGGCCAAAUCAGAAAGAUGCAAUAGACAAAGAUAUAAACUUCUUGUGAAAUAGAGAAGUAUUUGGACCAAUAGUCCAUACACUAAAAGGUGUAAAACAAGUGAGAUGUAAAUGAACUGUUGCACACAAAGAAGGAUCAAUAUGAAAUUGAUUUUGAAGAGACAUAAUUUCAUAUGGUAGAUGCAACUAGUUUCAAGUUCCUUAUAGUCUGGUAAUAAAGGAAGAACUUGAAUAAAACAAUCCACUUGAAAAAUGUUAAUCCCUGAAAGUAUAAUCCAUGAAGGAUUGAUGAUAUCAAAAUCAUGUUCCCGGGAACUCUGCAUAUUCGAUCGAAUUGAAACAAACUAUUUUAUGGGAUAUAUGAAAUAUUAUAAGGUUAACAAAUGUAUCCAUUUGUAUUUAUCAAGAGAUUAUAAAUCAAUAGAAUCAUGAUUUGAAUAUAAUCAAAACUCCUGAAGAGUUAUAGAAAAAUUAUAUUUUGAAAGAAAACUCUUGACAAUACUAUAUUGUUUUUAUGUAUUCUAAACUGGAGAUCUAAAACUGAGAUGUUAUCAUAAAGAUCCUUAAAGUAUUUUAUUUAAGACGCUCGUAUAUGUUUGGUCCUGAAAUACCAUACGUAAGAGUGAUAUUUAAGAAAAUUAUUAAUCUUUUUCAUUACUGAAAGAUGUAAUUUCAUAUGAAAAGAAAGAAAAUCAUAAUAGUAAUUUCUAUAGUUACAAAUGAAUAAUUCGUUUGUACGAGACGAAUUUCUAUACGAUUAUAUGUAAGAAAUUUGGUUUGAAAUCCAAAUAGACUAAUAAACUAUUGUCUAAGUCAAAAGAGAAUUAUGGACAAGAAGUCUAAAGGCCCUUGAUAUCAUAAUAGAAAUGAAUAGAGUUUAUUCUCUUAAGCUUAAUUCUCUGAAGAGAGUUGAUUGGAAUGCAUAUCCUGAAGAUCUUGUUUCCAGGGAAAGAAAUAUGAUAGUAAGUGUGGUUGUACUCUUUUUCCUUAUCAUGGUUUUUUUUAUCCCAUUGGGUUUUUCCAUGACAAGGUUUUAACGAGGCAACAAAGAACAUACAAAAGAUAGACACCCAAAGAGAAUGUUACAAUUUGAGAGAUGAAAAUCUAUCAUUGUUCUAAAGGUUCUAUGACUACUCAUUCGAGAGGGAGCUUACGUAGUUGUACUCUUUUUACUUUUACUACGGUUUUUCCCAUUGGGUUUUCCAUGACUAGGUUUUUAACGAGGCACCACGUAAUACAAGAUGGAUGAUCAAGGGGGAGUGUUAUAAGAUAAGCAUUGAAAUGAUCAUCCACUUCUUUACCAAACUCAAACACUAUGAUCAUCCACUCCUUUACCAACUCAAGCACUAUGAUCAUCUACUCAUCAAGCACUAUGAUCACCCACUCAUUUACCAAAUUAAGCACCAUCUUUGUUAUUUUAUGUAUUGUUGUUCACUAUAAAUACCAUCACUCAUCUCACUCUUUUGUACACCAAAAAAACAAGAACAAGAGUUUAUAAUCAAAGAAUCAUUACAUUUUCUUCUUCCUCCUUAUAAUAAACUCUCUCCCUUAUAUUAGUGUUAUUUGCUUCCUACGGAUAUUAAAUUCUACUCUUAUUUAAAUUUCUCGAUACUGUAAAUUAUAAGUUAUUUCAUAACACUAGGUAAUAUGUCCCUUGAGAACUUAAAAAAAAAUAGGAGACGAUGAGACAAGAAAAAAUAUUAUAGGAGACACGUGGCAGAUAAUAUUUAAAAUAGACGGCUGAGAUUAACUUAGACUCAGAGCCGCUAGAUAGGAAAAACGAAACGUUUUGCAAAUUCGAAGUUGCGCCAUUCAUGUUUUGAAAAUAGCUAACGCCGACCGUUUAGAUUUCUCUCUUUAUCUUCCUUGUCCCAUUUGAUCCCAAAAGUUUUUAAAAUCACUCCUCUCUCAGUUAAUCAGACAGUCUGAAGUGUGUUUUUGCCUCCAAUCUGAGAUUUUUCGUUUGCGAUUUGGGCUUAAUUGGGACCAUUGUGGUCUCCCUAGUUGAGAUCUGAUCGCUUCCGUUUCUGAAGCUCGUCGUCGGUGAGUUCUCUAGUUUCAUAGUUAGAGAUCUCGACCUAGGUCUGAUCAAUCGUAGUAUCUAGAUUGAUUAGGGUAUAUGAUGUCAUAUUUGAAUUGAUUGUCUGGAUGUUCGAGAUGUGAUCCCAAAAAACACCAAUUUGUUGCUGUAAUAAAGUUAAGCUUGGUGUAUGUUUAGUCCUAAUGAUGUAAAUUGACGGAGUGGGGAAUAACUUUGCAGAGAAGAAAGACAGCGCAUGGGAACUGGGGUUACUAUUUUUGCAUUUUUAUUGAAGAGAUAUGGAAAGUGAGUGUGCAACAACUCCUCCUCCUGAUGGGCUUACUGAAGGGAACCCCUCGAAAUCACGUCAAGGGUAUGCUUCUUCUUGUUUUAUAUAACUUUUACUUAAUAAGGUGAAGAAAACCGUUUUCAUGUCCUCUACAUAUCACAUCUAUUCAUGCCCACAUGUUUUUUUGUUUUGUUAUUGUUGUUUCCUUUCUCUUUACCCCUGUUCGUUUUAAAGACGCCCCUAGUGGCGGCAGCGGCCAACAAUUACCCUAUAAAAGAAGAAAAUUCAGAGUUUUAAAGACGCCUCCAGUCGCAAGCUGAUAAUCGGGGGGAAGGAAACCGGAGUUGCCGCUGUCGCUGAUAUUUUCAGCGUUCUCCUUACUGACUUUUAUUUGCCGCAGCGUCGAAAUAAACAAAACGGAUUUGUCUUGACUGUGCUGUGUUCGCCCUAACCGUAGUGAUAAUUCAGAGACGCAGCCGCGUUGGUAAAACGAACAGGGGUUUUGUGUUUAUCUGUUUGAUUUACUAGGUUGUAAUGUUUGGCCCUAUCUAGAACUGAGUUGCAUGACAAUCAAUAUGUGUUUUGAUUUUAUAGGAGGACUAGUGGCCCAACUAGACGUUCUACUCGAGGUCAAUGGACGGCUGAAGAGGUAUAGUUUCAUGAUUCCUUCAGCUUUUAUUUUAAAAACAUUUUUUACCAGUGCCGCUUGAUUCAAUUGGUUAAUCUGGUUUCAUUUGCUUGAUGCAUGAAACAAAGUCCACCCUGUGUGUGUUCAUUUGCAUGAUAUCAUUGAUCAUGCUACAUAAUAAUUACUUGUUCUUUAUACCUAAAAUGCAAUUUUUCUUAGAUUAUAUCUAUGUAAUGCACUAAAGCAGAGACACACAAGAAGUGGCCUUUUCAAUUGUGCGUUUCGUCAUUCUUUGAUCUGCAUAUUUGAUCAUUUGUUGACCUUGCAGGAUGAGAUUUUGAAAAAGGCUGUCCACAAUUUUAAAGGCAAAAACUGGAAGAAGAUAGGUAAAAUUUCACAAUUUGACAUAUACUUUGCUGACGUUUCUUUGGCUAAUUCGAUCUCACAUCUUUGCCUGGUCUGCUUUUUCUUAACUUCCAGCUGAAUAUUUCAAGGAUCGAACUGAUGUCCAAUGCCUCCACAGGUGGCAGAAGGUCCUUAAUCCUGAACUUGUUAAAGGGCCGUGGACAAAGGAGGUGACACAUCUUUUUUCUUCACUACUUUUAUAUCUGCUUCUUGCGUACUUAACCCUAUUGGCUUUAUACUUCCUAAACAUCCUCUAUGAGUGCUUAUUGCUCUCAUUUGACAUGUGUGUAGGAAGAUGAUAUGAUUGUUCAGUUAAUCCAAAAAUAUGGGCCGAAGAAGUGGUCCACUAUUGCUCGGUAUUUACCUGGCCGUAUUGGAAAGCAAUGUAGAGAGAGGUAUGCUUAUAUGUACUGUUCUCUAUAAACAACAGUGUUUUAUUAAGCACUUGAAAGCUUUUCAAUCUCUAGAUUUUUCAAAAGGGUGUGAUUGAUCUCAAUAGGUGGCAUAAUCAUCUCAAUCCUGCCAUAAACAAGGAAGCUUGGACUCAAGAAGAAGAGCUGGUUCUGAUUCGUGCUCAUCAAGUCUACGGUAAUAGAUGGGCAGAGUUAACAAAGUUCUUGCCUGGAAGGUACUAAUAUUUUUACUGUCAUAAGAUAACCGUGCAUCUCUAUUUGUUCUAGCAAUUUAUUUUGCGUUGCUAUGUUAUCAACAGGUCUGACAAUGGAAUCAAAAACCACUGGCACAGUUCAGUUAAGAAGAAACUAGAUUCCUAUAUGUCCUCUGGCCUUUUGGAUCAGUACCAAGCCAUGCCUCUAGCUCCUUACGAGAGAAGCUCCACGUUACAAUCUAUAGAUGGUAAUGGCUGCGUAAGUGGACAGGCGGGGAAAGAAGUAGAAAACUGUCAGAUUUCAACCCUGGCUAGCUGCUCCAUAUCUGCAAUGGAUUAUCAGAAUGGAAUGAUAAACAUGGAGCAUCACUUUCACCCCUGUGGAAACUCUCACAAGAAUGAGUAUUAUUAUCCGGAACUGGAAGAUAUCUCGGUCUCCAUCUCAGAACUCUCUUAUGAAAUGGAGGACUGUUCACAGUUCCCUGAUCAUAAUGUCUCUAGCCAGGAUUGCCAUUUUGAUUUUCAGGAGCUGUCGGAUAUUUCACUUGAGAUGAGACAUAGUAUGUCAGAGUUACCAAUGCCAUACGCCAAGGAGAGCAAGGAAGCUUCUCUGGGAGGUCCAAACUCCACAUCAAAUACAGAUGUGGCUACUUACACCAACACAGCAAACGUUUCUGAAACAGAAUGUUGCAGGGUUCUUUUCGUUGAUCAAGAGAGUGAAGGGCUCAGUGUUUCUAGAUCUUCUACUCAAGAACCAAACGAGGUUUCUUCAACAAAAUCUCCUAUGCAGACCUCUUCUUCAAAGUCUAUUGCAACAGCUGCUUCAGGCAAAGAAACUCUCCGGCCGGCUCCUUUGAUCAUAUCACCUGAUAAGUAUUCCAAGAAGUCAUCUGGAUUGAUAUGUCAUCCUUUUGAGGCAGAACCAAACUCCAGGACAAAUGAAAAUGGUGGCUUCAUAUGCAUUGAUGGUCCAUCAUCAGCGCCUAAUAACUCCAGCGAAGAAGAUCAAUCAUAUCAUUUGAAUGAUUCCAAGAAGUUGGUUCCAGUGAACGACUUUACUUCUCUAACAGAAGUUAAGCCACACUCUCUUCCUAAGCAUGAGCCAAUGGAGCAGCAUCAUGAGGAUACGGAAGCAUCAUCAUCAAGUCUCUCUUUUCCAAGCUUGGACCUACCUGUCUUCAACAGCGAUCUCUUACAGUCCAAAAACGAUCCGUUGCACGACUAUAGCCCUCUUGGCAUACGCAAGCUGCUGAUGUCCACCAUGACGUGCAUGAGUCCCCUUCGGCUGUGGGAAUCUCCCACUGGUAAAAAGACGUUGGUCGGUGCGAAGUCAAUCCUGAGGAAACGCACACGUGAUCUCCUGACGCCGCUGUCUGAGAAGAGAAGUGAUAAAAAGCUUGAGAUUGAUAUAGCAGCCAGUCUUUCAAAAGAUUUUUCACGUCUGGAUGUGAUGUUUGAUGAGAUUGAGAGUCGAGAAGAUUCAAUGUCUCUUGAAAAACCAGAGCAAUCUUGCUUGGAUGCAAGUGUCAAGGAGAAGGGUGUUGAAAAUGUAAGUCUCUUCUUUCCUUUAAGAAUUUAAAAGGCUGUUGAGUUAUCAAUCUUCAUAUGAAACUUGGUUGUGAGUAAGUACUUGGUUUGAUUAUGAAUCUGGUUGGUAGACUUCAUGUCAUGGUCAUCUAACCGUACAUAAUAGAAUGGUUUUGCUUUCUCAAAUUAAUUCACAUUCAUCAUUUCGUUUCUGUGCAUUUUUUUUUUUUUACCUGUCAUGUUAUAAACAGUGAACGGAUAAAACGUUAUGCAGGUCGAAAGUUUAUCUGGUGUUCUUUCUGAGAACAAUAAUACCAACAAGCAAGUACUGUCUCCUCCUUCUCAAUCAGUAACCAAAACAGAGAAAGCACAGGUUUCAACACCAAGAAAUCAUUUACAUUCUUCUGCAAGUCUUUGUUUGGUAAUAAAUUCGCCUUCUCGCGCGAGAAACACCGAGGGUCAUCAUGUUGACAACGAGACACGCAAUGAGAAUUUCAGCAUGUACAUAUACUACACACCUUCACUUUUUUUUAUAUUUUUCCAUUUUUGCUUUCAGUUGUUGCUAUAAUGAAUUUUGCUUCUUCUCUGUUUACAGUUUCUGUGGAACUCCAUUCAGGAGAGGUCUUGAAUCUCCCUCGGCGUGGAAAUCACCGUUUUACGUAAACUCUCUCUUGCACAGCCCAAGGUUUGACACAGAUAUAACUAUCGAGGUAUCUCAUUAUUAGGCUCCUUCCGUUAUAUAUUCAACCUCUUGCAUGCAUGCAUUGCCAAAUUCUUUUAGCCCAUAUAUAAAAUGGCAGUUUGUGCUUGUUUCUUUCCAGGACAUGGGCUACAUUUUCAGCCCUGGGGAGAGAAGCUACGGGAGCAUAGGACUUAUGACACAGAGAAAUGAGCUUACGAGUGCGUUUGCAGCAUUCGAUGCCAUGGAGGUCUCACUUUCAGCAAGUAACUAUGAUGAUGCAAGGAAGAUGAAGGAAUUGGAUAAAGAGAAUAAUGAUCCUCUUCUCGUAAAAUAUAUACUCCCAUUAAUCAUUCACUCUCUAAGUAAAUUCUAUGAUUUUAGAAACGAAAUAAAAAUGUUUUUCUUUCCAUCUUUAUAGGCGGAGCGUCGAGUGCUGGACUUCAACGAUUGCGAGUCUCCCACCAAAGUAACAGAAGAAGCCUCAUCCUCUUACCUCUUGAAAGGAUGUAGGUAAAAAGGCCAGGAACCUCGAUACAUAAUAUUCAUUGCACGUAUAUGCAUCUUCUAUAAACAGACUCUGUCCCCUGGUUGGAUCAAAUUCUCUGUUUCUUCUUCUUUUAAUGGAUCAGCUUGAAUGAAUUUAUGUAGAUACUGUGUAUUCAAUAUAAUAUAGUAUAUACAUCCCUCAUAAUUGCCUGCAAUGAGUAUGCAUGUCCAUAUACUUGGAACUUGCAAGCAAUGAGCAUGUCCAUAUUUUUUUGAAGCAAUACACGUGCAUAUGGAGUAUAUACCAACUUUUUAACUUCAACGACCAGUAACAACAUUCUUAUUCUAUGUUAGGUUCCAUAAGCUAGAAACCCUUAAAAGAUAGAACCAAAAAUUGAAAAUUGGUUGCUGUCUACAAAGUUACAUUGAGAAUGUAAAUAGUAGAAGAGGCACAAAACUCUCUUGCCUACUUUAUUAACCCCUGAGAUGAAAUAACAAUAAUAUUAGUGACAAUUAACUUGUCACUGCCGGAAAUACUGAAAGAAGGUAAGAUUCUUUAUUAUCACCAUGUAACCGUGGUGGUGGUGUGAGAUGUCUCAGAGGGCUUUGGUGACAACGGCAUGGAUAGCGUCUGCAAGGUGCGGUACAGUCUUCGAGCUCAGACCAGCCAUACUUAUCCUCCCGUCGGAUGUCAUGUAGAUGUGGUACUCUUUAGUCAUGUAGGAGACUUGAGCUGGGUUUAGCCCUGUGAAGGUAAACAUACCGAUCUGUUUGAUGAUGUGAGUCCA
rnacentral:lncRNA from 1 species